CCUUGGAAUGCUUCCGGUGAAGUUAUUGCUGUUGAGGUUGAUGUGUCCCAAGCUUGGGUAAUUCAUCCAACAGUCAGGAAUUUCUCCUGAUAGAGAAUUCUCCCGAAGAUCCAGAUACAAAAGAAAUUGAUUUUCAUUCUUCACUUCACACAAAAUGUGAGAGAUGCCUCCUGAAAAUCAAUAGUUGGAAAUUAAGUUCUAAAUAUGUCAAUCAAUGAUAAAUUAAUUGGGUGUGUAAGCAAUUGAAUAUCUUUGAUUGUUGUGUGCAUAUAAAUCUUUUAACAGUUUUAGAGAUAUUUGAACUUUUACUAUAAAAUUAAUUGUGAGAAAUGAUGGGUUGAAUAAUCAAGAGGGAAUAGCCAUUGAAUGUGUUUGACUAUAAUGCACAUAUAAACCUUUAACAAUUCAGAGACAUUUGAACUCUUACCCUGGAGUUGAUUGUGAGAAAGGUCUAUGGUUUGCAAUGAUGAAUUGAACAACCAAGGUGGAAUGGUAUCUGAAAUUCCUGUGAAGGACAAGUUCAAAUCCUGAAGGAAUUUUUGUGAUCUGAUCCAUGUAGGAAAUUGGGGAUCCAGCUUCCAUGAACUCAAUCCAAGUACAUAAAAUUGGACAUGAGGAGUCCAACUUGCACUUACUUUUAAGGUCAAGGAGUUUCCAGAUGCAUAAAAAAUCCUUAAAGCUGUCAGAUUGUCCAGGUGGCUCUCACUCACAAUACCUUCUAUUAAAUUAUCAGCAAUACCAAGCUCUUCAAGUUUGGAAAGUUGCCAAAGACUUUCAGGAAGAGUUCCAGUGAGUUUGUUCUGAGAUACAUCCAAGUGCUCCAAGGAUGACAGUUUUCCUAAAUUUGAUGGAAUUGAGCCAGAUAGAGCAUUAUCAUAUAGCCAAAGGUAUUCUAGUUUGGUACAGCUUCCUAAAUUUGAUGGAAUUGAACCAGAUAGAGCAUUAUCAUUUAGCCAAAGUAGUUUGAGCUUGGUACAGUUGCCAACUGUGCUUGGAAUUGAACCAUUUAAGUGAUUACCGCUUGCACCAAGUGUAAUCAAGUCCUUCAAUGUGAAUACUUCACUUGGUAAAGAGGAGCCAAGGUUGUUAUAAGACAGACGAAGAUAUUGAAGGUUGGAAAUGUUGGCAAUAGAGCUUGGGAUAGAACCUCGAAAGUGAUUGGAGCCAAGAUUUAGUGAAAUUAGGGCAGGUAAAGUGGAUAAUUGGCUUGGGAGGAAGGUAGCGAAGUUAUUCACUGAACUCCAAUUCCAAAUUCCAUCCAAAGAGCCUUCGAAUUGAUUCCCCCCAAGGUUGAGAGAAAUGAGGUUGUUAAGAUGAACAAGCUCAUCUGGCAGUGAACCAUUCAGAUGGUUGAAAGAAAGAUCCAAGUGCUUGAGGGCAGUCAAGUUCCACAGAUCUCUGGGCAAUGGGCCUUCAAACGAGUUCUCACUUAAAUCAAGGGAAGCAAGGGCAGUAAGACCGAAAAUCCAUCUAGGGAUGAGGUGUUCAAGAAAAUUUCCAGAAAGAUCUAGGACAGUAAGAGAAGAAAAGUUGGCAUGGAAGACAAAUGUAUCUCUGUCAAGAUGAUGAGAAAUUAAAUCAAGUUGACAAUAGCGCAGAUGUAUCUCUACCAAGGAAGGGACCGUGUUAAUCACCUCUAGCCAAUUAGACGCCGUACUAAGGUUCACGCGACUCAUAUCUAGGUGCUCCAGAUUAGAGAGACCAACCAACCAUUGCAGGUUAUCAACUUGAAGAUCGGACAGCGGCCCAAAUUCUGCGCCAACACUUAAAGUGCGUAAACUUGAUAGGUUUCCAAGCUGAUAGGGAACCGUUCCUUGAAAUCCAGCUCCAGAUAAAUUCAGGUACCUUAGACUUCUGAGAGACCCAAAAAAACUGGGAAUUGGAAUUCCACUGAAAUCAUUUAGACUUAGAUCAAGGUAACGCAAGUGAGUCAAAUUUUGUAACGAAUGACUGAUUUUACCGCUUAAUGGUGAUGUUUCCUCAUCACCAAAAUCAUCAAUUUCAGGAUCAGGACUCUGAAGGUGAAGUUGAAUCACGCGGCCACUUCGGUUGCUACAAACAACUCCUUCCCAUUCGCAGCAAUCAACGUCGUGAAUCCAAGACGAGAGUCUACCAGAGGGAUCUUUCAAGUCUUUCUUGAAGUCCAUAAGAGCUUGUUUCUCACUUGCAUAGCAAGUUGCAUUUACAGUUUUGCUGGAAGAACAGAGUAAAAUUAUUGCGACGAGUAAGAAAACAGAGAAAUGGGUUGAUCCACCCAUGGUCAUGUGAAAUGUCGGCAGAUAUACAUUGCAGUACUUCGGCUAUGUUGCAGGUAGAUAUAUAGAGCUGGCUGGCAGUGGUCGUCAAAUUAUGGUGGAAGAAAUGCACAGUUGAUAUAAAGCUUCACUGUUGACGUGGCUGUCCAUAUCAGGCUUGGAAAGCAUAUUUCACUUUUGCUGCGUUUACAUUGACAAGUCAACAAUGGAAGACUCAGGAAUCCUGAUUUCGAAAAGAAUUUAUUUAAAAUUCUCCCUAUAAUUUUAGUUGUUAUCCCCCUAAACAAAAUUAUUUUUUUCGUUACUUUGUUUAAUUUCUUUUGAUAAAGUGUCAUAUAUCAAACUAACAAUUAGUUUCCUUAUAAAAGUAUACCAUUCAUAUCUACAUUACUAUACAGUUAGUAUUAUUUUUGAAUAAAAAUUAUAAAAAUAUAAAGUUUUCUUUUCUCCGAGUUUCUUAUGACAAACCAACUCUUAGUCUCUUUGAUAACUACAAUUUUACAAUAGAAACUAAGGUAAUACUGUAUAUGUUACAUAGGAAAUCAAAGACAAAGAAAAGAAAAAAAAAAUAUUCUAGCUAUCAUACAGAUUAAAGAAGUUUCAACUGUGAUUUUGAAUACCUUACACUGACAGUAAAUAGAAUGGUAGAGAGUUUAAUUUUCACAUUUUUCUUUAUACAUUGUUUUUAUUUCAUUUUUUUAAAUUUCUUGCUUCUAAUUAUAAUCUAUUGUGCUUUCAUUUUGUUUUUGAUAUGCUUUAUUUGCUAUAAUAUCAUUGAUGAUUCGUUCCCACUAAAGUAAAAGCUCGAAUUCGUCACUGAUGCUUAUGCAUAUUUUUAAGGGUAAAUACAUCAACAUAACCUACAUAUGAAGACGAUUAAACAUAAGAAAUUUAAUAAUUCUGUUGAUUUAAAUCUACAUAUAAGAUUGUUAUACAAGUCAUUGAAAAUAGUUUAUUGAAACUUUUUAGUAUAGAUGAAAGCCGUCAAAGGUUAUCAAAUAUAUAUGUGUCUUUAAAAAAAAAUACAAAGAAGAAGGCGUCAGGGAAACACCUACAUGCUAGUGAAGAAAAUCAUAUUAAAAUUGUUUUAAAGAAGCCAAAAAUACACUAGAAAUAAGUGGUACUCUUACACAUUGGCGGCUGACGGGAUGCUGUCUCGUCUUUCAAGCAAAGACAUAAUACUUCACCGAAGUAAAGAAAUAUCUGAUUGAAGCCUCAGAGAGACUUUGAAAAGAAUCUUUGGAAAGAGUAAUUCACUUUUGCUCGGUUACAUUGACAAGUCAACAAUGAAAACCAUUGAAAACUCAAGUUUGAUUUCUCAUUUAUGAUUUUAGGCCAUGAUGUAAUAGGUCUAGGCAUUAAUUCGAGUGGAAUUUGAUUGGAAUCUGAUUAGGAUAAGAAUGUAUUCAUUUUUGGCCUGAGUAGCGACAAAUAAAAAGUCGUAUGACUUUUAACUAGUCUCAGUCUGAUUUUAAUAUGUAUAUUUAAUGUAAGAAGAAAUCUUCUUGUUCUCAUGCACCGCAGUAAGAACAGUAUCAGAUUGAAACUAAUGUUUCAUGGUUCGCACUUCAAAUUUUCUCCAAUAAUUGUUCCUUUUUUAUUAUGUGGUUUAGAGCUAGAAAUUGGCCCCAGAGGUUAAAAUCACUCUUUUUAAGCUCAUAUGCUAGGAUUUAACUCUUAUUGCUAUCACUAAAGCACUCAUUCAGUAAAAUUAGUAAAGCCAGAAAAUAUGAAAAAAAAAAGAAACAUUAAAGUUGCUUUGAUUAUUCCAUUUUUGUAAUUAUUCUUUAAUACAAGUUGUAAUACCAAAACAAUUUAACAGAAUCUCAUCACUUAAGCAUAGACUUUAAGCCUCUUGCCAAAAAUUCAAAAACCACCCGUUGAGAUAUUUACUCAUAUAUAUAUGCACACUGUUUUUUUCCCUCAGAAUAUUAUUUUUUAUUAUUGCAAGUAUUGCGAUUUACUUUUAUGAGAAAAUUCCGAUUUGGAUACCCAAUGUUCGAGGGAUGGAGACCAAAAUGGUCUCUUUUGCAUACACGUUAAACAAAACAAAUUUAGCAAUCAAAGUUUGGAAGGUGAAAAAAUUUGAUUCAAAUAAUAAUUCUUUUUCUUAAGGAAAUUAAAAAAAAAGGAAAUUUCUGUCUGCACAAUGUUUUCUAAGAAUCAUAGUAAUUUUUUUUUCUGCAAUGCAGAAACUUCCAUUUCAAGUUUAAAAUGGAAAAAAUACUGAAAUGGAAAAUAAAAUUGAAAGAAAUAGAUUUCAGUGCACACAAGCACAAAAGCAGUGGAAAGUGCUGAAAAUACUUGACUUUGGAAGCACAAAUAAUGCUGAUAUGUACCUUAGGCAUAAAUAUAUCAUCACAUCCUAUGUGCAAAGUAGAUUAAACAUAAGAAACAAAAUAUUUUUCUUUCUGAUCUACCUUACUUCUGCAAUUCGUAGAAUCCUUCAUAUACUUUUUUUUUUUUUUUGAAAUGUGAAGGUUUAUGAAUCUUUAAAACAUGGGCAUUUCAAUAUUAAGAAAAGAAUGAGUGCUUUUUUUUUUAAAAAAAAUAAAACUUUUAUUGAUGCAACCAACAAACGUACACAUAUCAGGUCCAACCCAUUCCUAGGAGUACAAACUUAAAAACCCUGACCAGUCCUAGCCACCCCCCACCGCUGGCGUCUUCGAAAACUUGGAAACCCGUACGCAUCCAAGGUAAUGUCCCCCCUCACCAACCUAGGCAAUGCACUAUAACCCUCAUAAAUUGUAGUACACCCAGCCUCCACUCCAACAUUAGACAACCUGUCCGUCGGCUUGUUUGCCUCCCGAAAGCAAUGAGAAACGGCUUCAAAAUACCGUCCAAAUUGCUGCAGCUCUAGUAGCUCCUUCUGCAACCGCCAAGGACACCGAACCUUCCCCUAAAUAAUACGGACCAACACCAUUGAGUUAGACUUCAGAUGCAACCUAAUUAAGCCACGGGAUACACCUCAUCGAACACCAAAGAGAAGCGCUUUCAGCUCCGCAUGAAGGCUCGUAGCCUCCCCAAAAGAACACGAGAAGCCAAGCAGGAACCUCCCAUCAGAAUCCCUGAACAAACCCCCACCACCACUCCUCCUCGGAUUACCCCUUGAACAACCAUCGGCAUUCAGUUUCACCAUCGACUGAGUCGGACAUCCCGAACGAACCUCCCGUAUGAUAACCUUGCUCCGCAACCUAGAUAUCAUCUCAAAAAAACCAAUCCGUGAAUUACAAGACAGAGAUAUCUCUCGAAACUGAAGACAGACGCAUUCUCUCAGCUCCAAGAAAAUCCGAUCACAAAUAUGCACUACCGAGUCUAGCUUACCAUAAAAAAUCCACAUAUUCCGCAUCUUCCACAAAUUCCAACAAAUUAACAAUGGCAAUGUGUGGAGAACAAAACCAAGGUAUGGAUUAAUACUAGGUUUAACCCACCAACUCAUCACCUUAUGUCUAAUCGUGAGAGCCUCACUAAACCCGCCAAUGAGACCCUCAAAGCAACCCCAAAUCUGCCUAGCCACCUCCCCUGUACAAAAAAUGUGGCUAAUAGUUUUUGGGGAUGGUCUCAGAGAACAACAAAAGCUCUUAGAAGGGCCCAGAAACCCAAACUUGUGUAACACAUCCAUCAGCGGCAACCUACCAUACAUCAAUCAUAGCAUGAAGAAGGAAAUCUUGGAUGGUAGGGCCUGAUGCCACAAGGAAGCAAACAGACUGGAAACGUUACCUCCUUGACGCACUAUCUGAUAUGCCGACGCAAUAAUAAACUCACCUGAAUUAGUGGGGGCCCAGAACAUUUCAUCUACCGCCACCGCUGUAGGGGGAGCCACCCCCAGCACCCGCGACACCCAUUCUGAUGGUAACACCCUACUUAAGCCUUGCAAAUUUCACCUGUCUUCCACGACAAAGUCUGCAACCGAGCGCUCCUGAAAUGAGUCCACCUGCCUACUUAAGCUUUUGGCAUCCUUCAUAUACUAAUAAAAGUAUUUUGACUAACUUUUCCUCAUUUCUUCAUAUUUUAUAAAUGUUCGUCCAAUGAAAAGUUUGAAGAUAAUUACGUUUAUUAUGAAAAUCUUUGAAUGAGGGGCUGAGUAAUUUUGUUAUUAUUCUAAAGUUGAACUAUUCAUUUGUUCAUUUAUUUGCAAAUGAGGAUGUAGGUUGCAAAGGCGCACAACUUAAUAUUUUUAGGCUAGACACAAGAAUCAGCGAUAUUUACGCUAUGUCCUUCCCCUAUUCAAAUUGACGGCUAAUAGGGUACUGUAUUGACAAAGGACCAAGACCUCAAAUUUUCUAGCAGACACAAAAGGACCAAGACCUCAAGAUCUCAAAUUUUCUAGUAAAUAAAGAGAGUUCACUAAACUGGAGAAAUAUUUGAUUUAAAUUCUUUACGUGUAGAAUGUGCAAAUUUUAUUAGUAGUCACAAUCAGAACUAUGCCAAAUAUGUCAAAUUAACAAAGUUGAUGGGAAUGCUUUGACUUUGUCAUAUAUAUAUAUAUUAAGGGAAGACGAGAUUUAAGGAGUGGGAAAGGAAAAAUUUGAGCACAAAAAUUCUAAAUCCCAAGAUCUUAUAAUUAUAUCUUAUGACUUCUUCAAAUUCAAAUUAAUUCAUCUCUUUUUGAGCUUCCUUCUCCUCACUUGUUUCCUCAAUGCGAUUCAUCAUGUGGUUGGUUUAUGGGAAUAAAAAUUAAUGAACUACUAUAAUUUGGAGAGCUAUUUUUGAAUCAAUUUUUACUAUAAUUUGACUUAAGAAGGGUAAUUUUCCUGUUUGGAUUGCAUUUUUCUGGAUUUUUUGUAGAAAAUUACUGUAGCGAUUUGAUAUAUGUGAGGUAAAAAAUUGAUAGGAAAAUGUGUUCACAAAAAAUGUGGUAAUUUUUCUGAGAAAAAUCGCAAUCCAAACGGGAGUAUUUUUACGAAAGAAUACUGUGCUAUUAAAAUUUGUCCUAUGGAAUAACUUCACUAGGUACUUAAACUUAUUACCAUUUUCCUGCAGCUAAAUGUUUUGUGCACUGAAAAAGUAUUAUACUAGAAAGUUGCCAGCAUUGUAUUGUUGUUUCCAAGGUUCGGGUUGUUGUCGUGCAAUAUACUAGCUAGGUAUUUAAGUAGGCUUAUGACUGUUGACCUUGAGUUCAUUUCUGUCAAGAGUAGGUUUUUCCAGUGUAGUCCUAAUUUUUAGGGUUCUCUACCGAUUAAAACUGAAGUAAAAUGUUCAUUCUUCUAAUGGAUAUGGAGUAAAAAUUGGUACCCAAUAUGUAUGUGCAUUUAGAAAUGUCAUAUUUUAGAGUUUUAAAUCUAUAACCUACCAUGAGAACUAAAAAAAAAACUGCAGUCCCAAUCCCAUCAUGGGAUUUCUGCCUUGCAUUUCCCCUUUUCCUUCUUUAUGUUUCUAUCUAUUUGUCAAUUAUCAUUGUGAACUAAAAUAUUAUGAACACCAUUGUGAGCAUUAUAUGUGUAUUUUCUAGCAAAGACAAAAGACUUAAUCGAAGUGGAGAAAUAUCUGACUGAAACUCUUUAAUGUGUAUUUUCUUCUUCUCUUGUCAAUAACUUUUUAUGUGUAGAAUGUGGAAAUUCAAAUACUAGUAAUGAUCAAGAAUAUGACUACAAGUGAAAAUUCAUUUGAUGUGGUCACAUCCUAAUUGGUUACUUUCUUAUUUGUCAUUAAAUUUUUGGAUAUCUAACACAAUGUUUGGAAAUGAUUAAAAGGAGUGAGUAAAUUAGUUUCUAAUUUUCUUUUUUGUUAAUCUUUUUUGUUCAAGGGAAAACUCCAAACCUUAUAAUGGGGAAAGGGGAAAAAGGAAGAAGUAUCAAAGGUGAAGAGGAAGGAUUUAAGAGUCAAAUAAGGAAUUUCAUAAACAACUGACUAAAUAUCCUAAAUUAGGUCUUGGGGACAAUUUUUGUUACCUUAACAAUAUCUAAAGCAUUACUUUCAAUUUAAACAUUUUUUUAUGACCUUUUAAACUUCAAUUCUUACUCCUUUGAUGGAGGAACAAAACUAAUUCCUGCCCAAAUUACUUAUGCAUAUGAUGUCAACAUAAACACAUAUAAGCAUUGUGAGUAAUUGCAAGUUAUAUCUAAGAAGAUAACUUUCAUUUCAUGAAGUAAAGGAAUAUCAUAAUUUUGCUUUAGUUUUGAAAAUUUUUUGUCCAAUAAAUUCAAAACCAAAAUUUACGUACUUCCAAAUUUAAUACCGCAUCAAGUAUUCUAUUUACACUAAUUAUCAUACGGUUACUUUUCGAUUCUGCGAACCCAUUGACAUCAUAAUCCUUCCCAUAUUACAUCGAGGGCUUAUUGGAUUUCGUACAGACUAAAGACCAAGAAGUCUAUUUCCCAGCAACCAGAUACCAAGAUUUCAAUUCUAUCGUUUCUGAAAAAAAAAAAGAUACCAAGAUUUCAAAUUUUGCAGCAAAGACGGAAGACUUUACGUGUGGAAUGUGCAAAUGCACAGGAUAGUGAUGAAUGCCUCUAGAAAACAAAUUCUCAGAAAGGUCUAUUGUUUUAAACAUAAGAAAAUUCAUAUUCUUUUAUAUUUUUUUCUCGGUCUCAGCAAUUCAUAGAAACAUUCAUACACUAACAGUAAGUUAUUUGACCUUAUUUUCUGUUCAAUUCAUAGAAACAUUCAUACACUAACGGUUUUUCUUAUUUCACCAAAUUCUUUACAUAUUUGUUCAAUGGAACGUCUGAAAAUAGUUACAUUCACUAUGAAAACCUUUUAAUAAGGGACUGAAUAAUUUUUGUUGUUAUUUUAAAGUUCAAGAAGUGUGAUUUAGUCGCAUAUUAGCAUUUAGGAAGCAAAGGUCCACAAGUUAAUACUCCAGUCUAAUGACGCCAAUGACUAAUGGGAUGCCGUGUAGACAACGGACCGAGACCUCAAAUUUUCCAGCAAAGCAAAGGACCACGACUCUCAAGACCUCAAAUUUUCCAGCAAAGAAAGGGACUUCACAAAAUUGGAGAAGUAUUUGGUUUAAAGUCUUUACGUGUGGAAUAUGUACAAAUUUUAUUCGUAGUCAUGAUCUAGACUAUGACAAAUAUGUGAAAUUAGACAAAGUUGAUGGGAAUGCUUUGACUUUUUCAUACAUAAUUAUAUCUUAUUAAAUCUUCUAUUUCUUAUUUCAUCUCUUUUGAAACUUUUCUUAUGCUAAACUUGUUUGGCUUUAGGUCUUAUAUUGCACUUUUUCAUGUUACAUUUUAGGGUAAAAUAUCAAAAAAUUUCUUGUGGUUUGUCAAAUAUACGGUGUAGGUUUCCAAAUUAGAGAGAGUUAAAUUGUACAUUUAACAAACUACAGGAAGUGUUUUGGUAUUUUACCCUACACUUUAUUAUACAACUUCUUAAAGUGACAUAUGUCCCAUGAAUGGGGAUAUUUUAAAUAACUUGGAUUGUUACUUAUUAUUACAUAGGACAUAUCAUUCUGAUGGAUAGUAUAACAAAAAUAUAACAGAAAAAGUUGUCAUAGAGGAUCUUGUGCUGCCCAAUAGGGCUUUCCUCUAAUGUAGGAUAGCAUAGAAUUAGUGCAGUUGCCAUUGAUUGAUAAAAGACUCAGUAGAGAAGAUUGUACUGCUUUGACUCAUUCAUUAUUGUUUUGUAAUUUUUUUUGGGACAGUGCUUCCGCAUCGAGAGUUACUAUCAAUGGCAGAGGGGAGCAACUAUCCUUUGGGGAUAUAUUCUUGGAGAUUCGAUCGGCGGAGCAACAGGUGGUAGAGGCCGAACUAGCCUAUGAUGGCAUCCCUUCCGCGGAAUUACUGAUACACCUACAUGAGGCACGAGCGCGGCUGCGCAAUGCUUUGGUAGUUGAAGAAGGGUUUUGGAAGUAGAAAGCUUGGGUCAAGUGGCUGGCGGACGGUGACCGGAAUACGGCUUUCUUCCAUUCUGUAGUGACGGAGAGGAGAAGAAAGUCGGUUAUUCAUCGAAUUCGGAGUACAAAUGGCGACUGGGUGGGCGACGAGGCAAGUAUUUGUAAUGAGGCCGUCGCUUUCUUCAGGGUUUGUUUACAGAGGAGGUAGGAAGUGUCCCCAGUGACAUGUUGGAGGUGAUUCCGAGGGUUAUUGAUGAUCAGGAUAAUAGCGGGCUGACGAAGCUCCCUUCUAUGGAUGAAGUGAAAGAGGUCGUGUUUUCGAUGGAUGGGGACAGUGCCGCAGGUCCGGAUGGACUUACAGGGAAGUUUUUCACGGCUGCUUGGGAGGUAGUUGCCGAGGAUGUUCACCGGGCUAUAGAGAGUUUCUUUUGUGGCGCGGAGUUGCCAAGAUUUGUAACUGCUACUGCCAUUGUGUUGUUGCCUAAGGUUCUCUGUCCACAGGAUUUUACACAAUUCAGACCGAUAAGUUUAUGCAACUUUGUCAAUAAGGCCAUAUCUAAGCUCUUAUCCGUCCGCCUGGCUAAGGUUCUUCCUCGGAGUAUCUCGCCGUAGCAGAGUGGUUUCGUGCCAGGACGACAAAUGCCGGACAACUUUCUGUUAGCUCAGGAGUUGUUGAGCGAUAUUAGGAAACCCAACCGGGGAGGGAAUGUUGUGCCCAAGUUGAAUAUGAUGAAGGCCUAUGACAGGGUAUCGUGGAUGUUUUUAAUACAAGUCUUUCGGCGGUUUGGGUUCAGCAAGCUGUGGAUUGAUAUGGUGUGGAGGCUGGUGUCAAAUGUGUGGUUUUCUGUCAUUGUGAACGGCUCGCCGCAGGGGUUCUUCAGGUCCACCCGAGGCUUGCGCUAGGGAGAUCCGAUAUCGCCGGCUUUGUUUGUCAUUGGAGCAGAGGUACUUUCCCGUUCUCUGAAUGCAUUGGCGGUGCAAAGGCAUUUCCACCCCUUCAAAGUUCCUAGUGGAUGCCUGGUAGUUACGCACUUGGCAUAUACAGACGAUGUGAUUAUUUUCACCAGCGGAGUCAAGGCUUCGGUGCAGUUAGUCAAGCAGGUAGUCGAUGGGUAUUGUUUUCUGUCGGGGCAGCGAGUUAAUUGUCAGAAGAGUUGCUUUUUGGUGCACCCUAGGGUGCCUCCGCAAAGACGAGCAAUGAUCAGGGCGGUUACGGGCUUCCCGCACAAGUUGUUUCCUAUCAAAUACCUUGGAUGUCCUUUGUUCAUUAGGAGGAGACGUGUGUAUUAUUUUUUCAGAUAUCUGCAGUGCGGUCACGGCUAGAAUUUUAUCAUGGAAAAAUCGGGUCCUGUCAUCUGGGGGCAAACUAGUUUUACUUAUGUAGGACCCAAAACAACCAAUGCAAAGAUCAUAAACGAAACAAUAAGUAAAUAAAAAGGAAAGGAUUGCAAACCAAUUAACUACCCAACUCCUCUUGAGCUUGUAGAUUAAUUGAAACAAGCUACUUCAAGUUGAUGAAUUACAAUCACUCUUGUGUACAAAGGAAGGUUCACCUCCUCCUUGCCCCAAGCAGCACUCGGUCAAGCCAGGACGUUUUACUAUCCCUCAGGACAACCCUCACAGAGUUACACUCAUGAAAGAUUCACUCACAAAUGAAAAGCUUACAAUGAACCUCACACCACUAAGACUACAAAUAUUCUUUUUGGAGUAUUUUCUCACUAAAAUCUCUCUAGAUCUUUUGUAUCUUUAGUGUGCCAAAGUUCUUUGAAGUAUCUGACCAACCACUAUUUAUAUAGGACCAAGAAAGAGCCUCAUUAAAGCUUCCAACGGAUAGAAAGUAGCUGAACAGUCAACUAGCCGUUGGUAGUGUCGGACGUCCGAUAGCACUGUUUUAUGCGUCCGACAGCAGGCAGUGAGUUUGAGAAAUUUUUUUCAAUUCUUUCGGACGUCCGAUAGGCUGGUUUUCUGCGUCCGAAGAUACUCAAUGGUUGUCGGACGUCCGAUGCAGUCUUUUUGAGCGUCCGACAACUUCAGCAUACUUUGUCUUCUUCCAAUUGCACUUGUUCAUGGAAUCAAAUAAUUUCAUAACUGAAAAUAUAUCUUGAAGAAAUAUUAGUAUCAUCCAUUUGUUUUGUAAACAUCAAAAGAUAGGGAUCAAGAUCAACAACUUAGAAGCGUCCUGUCCUCAAUACCGAUCCACUUGUUAGCGGCGGCAUCACCGCCGAAGGCAGUGUUUGUGUCCCUCGAGAAGGUGAUGGCAGCCUUUUUGUGGGGCUCAUCGGAGAUUGGUCCUAGGUUUUAGUGGAUAAAUUGGGCGGAGCUAUACAGGCCCCCGGAGACAGGUGGGGUCAGUUUGCGUAGUAUUGCUAAGGUGUAUGAUGCAUUCGCCAUUAAGCUUUGGUGGAAUUUUAGGCAGCAAAAGUCGUUAUGGGCGUAAUUCCUGUCUGCGAAAUAUUGUAAAGGAGGGCAUCCUUGUUUGGUAGAAGAGAUCGCUUCACAGUCCUAUACUUGGCGAAGAUUAAGGUCAAUCCAGGAUUUGGCGGAGGAGCAUAUCGACUGGGUCCUGGGUGAAGGUUCCAUGGAUUUCUGGCAUGAUAAUUGGAUGGGUAAAGGAGCGCUAUGCCAUCGGGUAGAUAUCUUUCAUGAGCAUAGGGUGGCAGAUCUCGUCUUUCAGUCACAAUGGAACUGGUGACUGCUUAGUCAGUUAUUGGCGCCGGAACUAGUGAGGCAAGUGAUGCAAGUAUCCCCUCCGGUCUCUAGAGGAGCAGAUAAGAUGGUCUGGGCUUUAACAGCUGAUGGGGCGUUCUCAGUAGCCUCGGCUUAUUCCGUUGUUACAAUGUCAGAUACUUGCUCUUGGGUAGCUUCACGUGUUUGGCUGCAGGGUUGCCCCCUCAAGAUUUCCUUCUUCAUGCUCCGGCUGUUGCGGUCGCGCCUUCCUCUGAUAGAUAUGAUACAGGGAUUUGGGGUCCAGGGGCCGUCUAGGUGUCAGUGUUGCGCUGAGCCGGGUGAGGAAGGGAUCCAGCACACCUUCUGCACGGGGGAGUUAGCAAAGGCUGUUUGGACUAGCUUUGAGGAAUAUCAGGGAGAGUUGGCUAGGGUUUCCACGGUGUGUCAUCUGGUCGUGCGAUGGUGGCUGCGCCGGGGACACAAUGAGUACCUCAAGUUCGUUUAUCGAUUACUCCCAAUGCUGAUCUGUUGGGAGUUGUGGAAAGCGAGAAACAAAGGGGUAUUUGAGAGGAGGAAAGCGGUGUGUUCGGCAGUGGUGCGUCAGGUAUUUCUACAAUUGAGUGCUUUAUUUCAUUGCCGCUUCCCAGAGAUAGAUGGCUCUUUUAGGUCAUGGGAGGCUUUUCACUUGACAUUGGUGGGUUUGAGACGAAGGGUUUCUAUUAUACAGGUGGCAUGGGUGGCUCCGACGGAAGGGUUUAAAUUGAAUUCUGAUGGAUGCUCUAGAGGGAAUCCGGGGAUUAGUGGAGGUGGAGGUGUGGUGCGUGAUAGGGAAGGGAGGUUCAUUUUCGAUUACUCUUGCUUCUUUGGGUCCUUGACGAGUGUGCAUGAGGAGCUCAGGGCAAUGCUGUUUGGGGUACGGUUAUGUGUCGCUAAGGGUUUACAUGGGUUGCAUAUCGAGUCCGACUCGCUCAGCUUGGUGCGGACUCUGCAAGGGAGUCAAAGUUGCUCGUGGCGACUCCAACAGGAGAUGUACGAGUUGCUCAGCUAUAAGCAGUACUUCACGGAGAUCACGCAUUGUUAUCGGGAGGCAAACAAGCCUGCUGAUUGCCUGGCUAACAUGGGAGCGGAGUCGGAGCAGGAGAAGGUCUUUACUAGCUUUUCCGCUUUGCCUUGUAAUGUUCGAGGGGAAUUGGCUUUGGAGCGCGUAGGGAUUCCUAAUUUUCGUAGGAGGUGGGCUCGUUGAGCGUUGUAUGCUAUCAUUUGCUUAUUAUCAAGUUCAAUAAAAAAAUAUAUAUAUAUUUUGUAUUGGACUAAAAAGCUUACUGUCAAUAUGGGUUAUUGAACAUAUUACCUUAUACAGGAUGAAUCUUUUUUUUUCCCUGAAACUGACGCUAUAUUUGAUUUAAAAUAUAUUCAAUACUUCCAUUGAAGUUAUUCAUUACAAAAAUUUUCUGUGGAAAAGAAAACUCUAUAAAAUUUAAAAAGAAAAUUUAGAUAGAGGAGUGAACAUUUUAAAAUUUUAAAGGGGAUAAUGUAGUUAUGGAAGGGAUUUUACAAAGUUGAGGAGAAGCAAAUAAGGGGCAAAACAAAAAAUAUUGUAAAAUAUAUUAUAAAGUGUAAGGGGCCUAUUAUAUAACUAGUUUUGUACCCGUUCAUUGAACGGGAAUCGUCGAAAAAUAAUAAACUAUUUAGUCAAUUUUAUAAAAAUGUCGAUAUAAAAUACAAACUUAAUGUAUAAUCUAUUAUAACCUGUCUUAAGUAUAAUAGUAUGUGCGCAUUGUAAUAUAAAGUAUUCUUAUAACCUGUCUUACUGUAUUGAAGAAAGAUGUACCUGAUAAUCAAGAGGAAUGAAAAACCCAAAAUCGAUACUUUAAUGUGCCAACUACUUGCAUUGGAAAUACCUAACCAUGAAUUUGAUGCUUGAAAUUCAUAUAGUAGAGGCUAUAUGAAGUAUAGGCAUAAGAAAUAAAAAUUGAUAAGGAUAUAAAGAAAUAUUGAUAAGAAUAUUAAAAGUAAUUUUAUCUUGAUUUAAGUUGCUUAAAGUACGUAAGCCACGUAGGAAAGAGAAAACAAAGGCAAAAGAAGAGAGAGAUGAAAUAGGGUAGGUCAUUUUAUAGAGCGUGUUGAAAUUAUUUGCCGUUAAGCCACGUAGGAAAGAGAAAACAUGAAACUAUAUAAAUUUGAGAAGGGAUUUUUAGUAACAAGUUUCCACACAUCUUUCCACUAUCAAUUCUAUUUUUCUAGCAUUUCACAUUUAAUUUAAUUUAUAAAAUAUAUUUCUCUUAACUUCCACAUCUACUCUUCACAUUUGAAAUUGUUGGUUACUUUUUAAAAUAAUUUCAUUUCAAAUUGUUGGUUAAUGUGCAUGUUAUCUUAUUUGAACUUCAACCUAUCACGUUUCCGAUUGUCUUGCGUUAUUUAUGAUUCUACUCCAAUUAAAACUUCUAUAAGACCAUAACAAGAGAUAACAAAUAUAACAUCCUUUCAUGCUUUCUUAUUAAUUUAAAUAAGUAAGAUUAUUUACACUAUAUUUUUGUUAUUCACACUUCAAUAAUCUUUUUGAUCAUAUAGUUUUCAUUAAUUAGACUAUAUGAUAAAACAAAUGGUGGAAUUGCAAAUAAUAAAAAAUGGAGUGCAAAUAACAUUUUUCUAAGUAAGGAGUGGCUUCCAUGUCUUUCUAAUUUAAAUAAGUAAGAUGUGCCUCCAUUUAUAUAGGAAUUUGGUUUGAAGUUUAUUAGUGGGAGGGUAAAUAAAGAGAAAACAUUGCCAAACUUGGUAAAAGUAAAAAUGUAAAUGAUAAUAUUUUAUCUUUUAACUUAGUAAUCCUAAGUAAAAGAGCAAAAUUAAAUAGAAAACGAAAAGAAAAUAAUGUUGUGGAUUUAAAAAAUCAAGAAUGGUACCAUUUAUGAAAUCUAAAUUAUGAAAUCACUAAAUAAAAAACAAAGUACUACUGGCAUUUUAACGUGCAAAAUUUUUUUUUUUGAUAAAUAUGAUAAUAACAAUACCAAUUCUACCAAAAAUUUUAAAAAAAGUAACAUUAUAGUUUAAGAGAAAAACAUUGCCAAACAUUCGACCCUAAAAUACUACUUAAUUUGUAUAUAUCUAGCCCAAAUUUGACCCUGAUUAGAUUUGAAUAGGAGUGUAAAACCCAAACACUAAAGAUAACUUUUGGUAUCAUUAAUUAUUUUAUGUAUUCUUAUUGCCGUCUUCAUAUGUAAAUAUGUAUUUGCUAAGUUAUAUAUAUAUAUAUUGUAGUACUUGAAGAUAUUAUAGAUAUUAUCAGUUUUUCAUUUCCAUUUUUAGAUACUAAUAAUUGCAACCAUUGUAAUCAAUUUUCAAUUUUAUAUUUUCAUUAUGAUAGGUAAAGUUAAAAAUAUUUUUUUUUAUAGAAAUAGGGGUUUAUUCAUCAAGAAAGCAAAACAAUCACAAGUUCUUCUUACAAACGCCUACUUCUCCAAAAUGCAUGGAUAUGAAUUUAGAAGUUGGGUAUGGGGGGAAAAGGGAGGGAAGAAAAUGGUGAGGAGUUGAAAAGUGACGAGAAAGGUUGAAGAAGAAAUGUGGGUUACAAGGAAGGGCGGAGUAGGGAGAGAAGAAGAAAGGGAAUUGCAGCAAUAUGACAGAAAUGACAAAAAAAAAUAGAGAGAAUGGUAUCAUGAUAGAAGAUACGAAAGUCGUAGGAGGCAUCUCAUGAUUAGCUGGCGGAUAAGAAAAGAGGGAAAUGAUGGUGAUUUUUAAUAAUUUUGAGAACUCUAAAAAUAUAUAUUACAGAGAUUUUUUUUAAAUAUACGUUAAAGUUUAUAAAAAAAUGCUAAUCUAAAUGCAGUCAACAAUUUUAGCGGUACAAGACAGGAGAAAGAUUUUUUUCUAAAACUGGAAGAAAAUAAAUUGAUUAUAAUUUAUUUUGUUAUAUUAUAAGUUUUGAUAUAUGGGUAUAACAGAAUAUGUUUCGUUCGAUACUGAUAAUUUGAUUUUUUUUUUAGAAAACUCUUCUCACCUUACCACUCAACCUAACCCUUUCCUUAAAUGCGUUAACAAUUUCUCUAUCAUGUAAAUCAUUAUAAAUUAAAAUUUUUUCAACAUGUUAAACAUACACUUCUUUAAAAUUUUUAGUCUAUAUAUAUAUAUUAUUCUGUACCACAAUAUAUAAAUAUAUACAAUAUUAUUUUAAUUUGAAAUAUAAUCCCGUGCAUAGCACGAGUCAAAAUACUAGUAUUGAUAAGAAUAUUAAAAGUAAUGUUAUCUUGAUUUAAGUUAUUUAAAGUAUGUAAGUCACGUAGGAAAGAGAAAACAAAGGCAAAAGAAGAGAGAGAUGGAAGAGGGUAGGUCAUUUUAUAGAGCGUGUUGAAACUAUUUGCCGUAUCGUUAAGCCACGUAGGAAAGAGAAAACAUGAAACGAUAAAAAUGAGAAUACGACUUUAUUAUAUAGAUAUAGGAUUAAUCUUUCCUAUACUGACAGUGUAUACACUAUCAGCAUUGGAUGAAUGAUAACUAUGCAAAAUUUGAAAUUGAAAUUCAACUUUUGUACACAUGUCAUGAAUCCAACGAUGAUAGUGUAUACACCGUCAGUGUAGGAAAUAUUUACUCAUAUAUAUAUAUAUAUAUAUAUAUAUGAUUCUUUAAAACUUGAAAGGAUGGGGCAAUUGCCCACCCUCAAGCAUCCAUGGCUCCGCCCUCGGUUACUGUGCCAAUAAUAGGCUGAUUGUAUUGCUUUGACUUGGUCAUAACUGCUUUGUACUAUUAUCUACUUUUUUUUAUCUCAAAAUGAUUUAUCUAUUUUUUUUGUUUGAGUUUUUAUGCUAUGUAAUAUUUGUUUCACAAAUCAAUAUAUUUUCAUUUUAUCAUGUAUCUAGUUGAGGGAAAAAAGUUAAAGGUUUAGCAGAAUUGGAGAAUGGUAAUAACCGAUUCACGAAAUAGACCACAGUAUAAUACAACAAGACUUAGUUUUAACCUUAUUUUCAGAAGUCAAAAUUGUGGAAGAUGUUUCAUUAAAUAUUGAUGCCAUUCUACUUCAUCAUUUUCAUAAAUAGAUCUUGAAUAACGCUUUGCCCCCCUUGACCUUUACGAUCUUGAAUUUCAAAAAUAUAUAUUCUACCCAUCUCCCCCCUCAAAUGAAUUAUGUUUAUACUUUUAAUUUUGUACAACCUAUGUGCAUAUUUUUCUUCGUAGAUUACCCCCAAUUUUCCUAGUUUCGCAACAGUCAACUUUUAAACUAUUGCAUUUUCUUCUUAUGUUUCCAUCAAAAUAUUUUUGUUAUUGUGUGCUAUGAUGUUAGAUAAAAACUCCCCCUACAUCAGCCUUUUCCCCAACCUAUCCCAGUUUCCUGGCAGUGCUCUUGUGGUGACCAUUAUUAUUAUUUAUUUGACCUAGUUUUUUGUUUAAAAAAUGUAUAUAUAACACCAAUAAAAAUCGCAAUUAUCAGUCUUUUGAAUUAGCCAAAAAUUCAAUGUUAAUUAUCACAUUUGAUACUAUGUGAAAUCUAAAUCAAUACCCAUUAUUCUUUUACAAAUAGUAUAUAACAUGUGACAAAUAAAAAUAUAAGUAAAUUAAUAUAACAAAAUCAUACUUUUAACACAAACAUAAUAAAUCUCCAAGAAAUGGUACAUUAUUUUAUCACAAUAAAAUAACAUAUUGUUUAUUUUAAAUUUGAAUAUUUACAGACAUAUUAGUACUACACUACAUUAUAUAUAAGGCAGGGGAUAGGGUAAGGAAUUUAGCCCAAUUUAAAUCGAUGCUAAGUUAUAUAUAAAUCUAUGUAAUAAGUUAAUUAAACUAUUGUCCAACAUCACACCAAACGAUAGUAAAAUGUUUUGAUGAAUAUAUAAUAAGAAAAUACAACAAGCUAAAAGUUGACCAUUGAGAAAAUAGGAAGGUUAGGAGUAAUUUGGAAAGAAAAAUAUGCAUAUCGAUUUGUCAAAGUUAAAAGUACAAAUAUAAUGCAUUUAAGAGGGCACAAUGUAUAUUUUUCAAGUUUAGGGUGGCAAAGUGUUAGGUUUUUGUUGGGGGGGGGGGUUGCAAAGUGUUAUUAACCCAUGUUAAAUAUUGUAACAUAAACCAACUUUGAACAUUUAUGCAUUUUUUACAUUUUGUAACAGUUCGCCACCAACUGCGGUUUCAAACAGGAAUAAAACGCCUUUUUCCCCACUUUUUCUGGCAAACCGUUGGGUAUGACGGACAAGGGGCUGGAGCGGUUGUCUGACAACCGCUUAUAAAUUUUUCAUGGCCAAGAUGUGGUGGGCCCAUCAUUAAAGGCCAAAAUGAAAUCGAACAAAAUGGAGAUGAGUGUAGAGGAUUGUUGCUUUAAUACAAGCUUAACUUUUAACUCCGUUUGGUCUGGCCGUUAAGGGUAUGAAAAAUUCAAAAUCAAAAUUUGAAAAUCAACUUUUGGUAUGAUCGCGCGGGAUUUAAAACUGUUUCAACUUAAAAGAUGUGGGAAGAAAAUGACAGUAAUGAAUUUUCUCUGAACACAAUACAUUGUCGUUGUAGCUCCUUUUGUUUUUCUCCUUUCAACAAGCUCCUUCUAUUCUUCUCCACUCAACAAAUUAUUUCGCAUAACAUAGACAUAAAUUUUUGUCUUCUUCUCUUCCAACUCUUAAAUAAACCUUAUCAAAACGGGCAUCUUUUCUGAGGUGUGCACAAGAUAAUUGUGAAGAUCCGCUGCAGCAACAAUACACGCUGAUUUAAGUAGUGGAUGACUGAGAUAGAUAUUCAUCGAGUAACAAAUGCAUAACCGAGACUUGUGAGCGACCCAUCUGAAAUUUACUGCAUGGUGAACUCUGUCCAAGGUAAACGCUAAUAUUAUAUGUAAUUCGGUUGUAAUAAAUGUGUUAUUUAGUGAAGCAUGAUUUAAAAAUUAUAAUAAGUAUGUCAUUAUCCUUUUAGAGAGAAUGGUUAACUUGUACAAUAAAGAUCCCGUACAGAAUUUCAAAAUAUAAAUGAGGAUGUGUACAAAUAAAAUAACAUAAGCGUAAAAAUAACUUAACAAUGUGACCAACUUAAAUAACUACAUAAACGGUAUAGAUGACAAUGUAUAGAUUUUGAGAAUUCUGUCAAACCUUAAGCUAUGUAAAAGUGUAUGAGGCAUACAUGCAUUUGUUAUGUUACAAGUUGAUAUAAAGGGUGUACACAUUGUUAUAAAGUGUGUACAUAUGAUUGUAAAAUAUGUAAAUACUGAUAUUAUGCACAAAUUGGUUAUAAUAUUUGUUUGAAAUGUAUAUAUUAUGUAGUGAAAUAUGCUAUGCAAAUUAUUAGAGUUAUGUGAUUACCUAUUACAAAGAAGAUACACAUCCAUAAAAAUUAUUUUACAAAAUGUUGUAAGGUGUGUACACGUCGUUAUAAAGUAUGUACAUAUGUGAAUACAAAUAAUUAAGUGCUUAUGAUGUGAAUAAAGAAAUAAAAAAUAAAUAUAAUUGUUUGUCCUGAAAAACAAUAGCAAAAAAUGCUUUUGUCGAAUACAGCACAAUGGAAGAAGCAUUGUGUCCUAAGAUCGGCAUGGAGUUUCAGUCAGAAGAUGAGGCAUACAACUUCUACAAUAGGUACGGAUUAGUUGUUGGGUUCAGUGUUCGGAAAGACUACUUGAACAAGGAUAAAGACGGUGUAGUUACAUCGAAAAGGUACACAUGUUGCAAAGAAGGUUUCAAACCACGGUACAAAGGAGAUGUAAAACCAAAGAGAACUCGGGCUGAAACAAAAACCGGAUGUGAAGCUAAAAUGGGGAUAAUUUUGAACAGAGAAACAAUGAAGUAUCAGGUUCGAGAUCAGGUAAUCGAGCAUAAUCACACACUACACAUUUCAGAAUGUGCUCAUAUGAUGCGUUCGCAAAGAAAAGUAAGUAUUUCUCAAGGAACCCAAGCUGAGAUUGCAAAUGAUGCAGGAAUAUCCUUGAAACAAUCCCAUGAACUCAUGGGAAAAGAGGCAGGUGGAUUAGGCAAUAUUGGCUACACUCAUGAUGACUUAAAACGCUAUCUACGAGCAAAAAGAGAGAGGGGAUUAAAGUAUGGUGAAGCUGGUGCAAUGCUACUAUACUUUGAAGAACAAAAAUUGGAAAUUCCGUCAUUCUUCCACGUAGAGCAGCUUGAUUGUGAAGAACAAAUUACAAAUAUAUUUUGGGCUGAUGCAUCAAUGCUGAUGGAUUAUACCUAUUUUGGGGAUGUGAUUACAUUUGACACCACAUAUAAAACUAACAAGGAGUACAGACCAUUGGGCGUAUUUGUGGGAUUCAAUCAAUUUAGACAAUUGGUUAUUUUUGGAGCAACUCUAUUGUAUGAUGAGACCAUUGAAUCAUUCAAGUGGGUGUUCAGUACAUUUGUAGAGACAGAUUGUGGAAGGCACCCAAAAACCAUCUUCACAGAUCAGGAUGCAGCCAUGGCCGCUGCAAUUUCAGCUGUUAUGCCUUCAACAUACCAUGGUCUGUGCACUUUUCAUAUUAUAGUCAAUUUCAUGAAACACCUUGGGAACUAUUACAAGGAUGGUAGUAAUCUCCCAUAUAGAUUUGUUGAAUGUAUGUAUGAGAUAGAAGAUGAAAAUGAGUUUAUCAUGGCCUGGGAUGCAAUGCUAAAAGAACACAAACUCGAAACAAAUGAAUGGUUGUGUGGCAUUUAUGCAUGUCGAAAGAAAUGGGCAAAAUGCUUCAUGAAAGGCGCCUGGACUGCAGGUAUGCGUAACACCCAGCUAAGUGAGAGUCUAAAUGCUUCAAUAAAAAAUUAUCUGAAACUUGAUCAUGAUCUGGUUCAAUUCUUCAAACAUUUUAACCGAGUUGUGGAUGAAAAAAGAUAUAAUGAACUAAGAAUUGAGUAUCACAGUCGACAGAAGCUGCCAAUGUUGGGAUUGCAACAGACUCCCGUACUGAUCCAGGCAGUUUCUAUAUACUCUCCAUGCAUGUUUGUUGCAUUCCAGAAUGAAUACGAUGAAUCCACUAUAAUGGUGAUCUUGGACCAAAAGCAUACUACAAUGCAUGUGGAAUACAGUGUCAGUCACUAUGAUGGAGGAAGGGAAAGAAGAGUGAUAUUGAAUCCAAUAACUAAAGACAUUACUUGUAGUUGUAAUCUUUUUGAGCAGGAAGGAAUCCUAUGCUCACAUGCUUUAAAGGUGUAUGAUAUGGUUGGAACAAAGUUUAUUCCUAAUCAAUAUGUGACAAAGAGGUGGACAAAGAAGGCAAGGUCCGGAGGCCGCAUCAAUUGCAAGGGUCGAGAAAUAUCAUUAGAUCCGUCUCUCUCUAUUUCCCAUCGAUAUAGGCUAUUAGCACCCGAAAUGGUAAGACUUGCUACCAGGGCUGCCAUGUCAGAAGCCGCUACAAAGUUAGUCAGUAGCGCAAUGUCUGAAUUGUCAAAGAGAGUCGAAAUGCUAUUUUGUGGAGAAAUAGAUGAAAUAACAUAGAAUAGUGCAUCAAUGGAUCUAUGUAAGGGAAUACAGGUGUAGAAUGCAGCUGGCCACUUUGUGACUCCAACGGGUUUGAAGAAACGAAGUGGCAGAAAAAUUAAGAAAGUAUUGCGUAGUUGGGUGGACAGGUUUCAUAGGCAAAAGAAAAACUCUAGAUUGUCUGAGGCAAGCACUCCUGAGAUGGUUAGUACCGAAUCUUAUUUUUGGACUUACAUAACUAUAUCAUUUCAAUUGACUCUACUAUCAUAAGCCGACUGAGUUGUUGUAUAUUCUUCUCUUGUCAGUCAUCAGAAUCCUAUCAACCUAUCCCAAGCCAAACAUCAAGCAAAUGUUUGUCAUCGAAUAAUUCUGUGGCAGUAAGUAGUUAUUUUUAUACUUUACAUAAUGUGCAUUAUAGUUCACUGUUAGUUAUUUAGGUGUUACAAAUUAAUAUUUUACUUGUACACAUUGGUUAUUAAGGUAUACAUAUUAGUGAUAGGAUGUUCAUCACAUGUUAUUUAUUUUUGACACAGUAAUAUCAUAUUUUGUACAUAUUAGUUGGUACACAUUACGACGAUCUCUUAAUUUAAUAGCAUUUACAUGUUGUUAUUUUAUGUGUACAAACUGAUAUAUAUGUUGUACGCAUUGAUUGAUACCAUGUACCACUGGUUAUUUUGUUUUGAAAUAUCGUUAUUACAUUUGGACACAUGAUUACACAUUUGGAUAAAGUUUUUUACAGAUUAUUAAUUUAUUUUCUCACAUUUAUUUUUUCAAUCGUACAAGUUACAAUUAUUUAUCACCCGUUGAUUAGUUUUGACAUCGUGUUAUUAUUCUGGUACACGAGUGUAUAUUAGUUGGUACACAGUACGGAGAUCUCUUGAUUUAAUAACAAUUACAUGUUGUUGUUUGAUGUGUACAAACUGAUAUAUAUGUUGUACGCAUUGAUUGAUACCAUGUACCACUGGUUACUUUGUUUUGAAAUAUGAAUAAUUCCAUUUGAACACAUGAUUACACAUUUGGAUAAAAUUUUUUACACGUUAUUAAUUUAUUUUCUCACAUUUAUUUUUUCAAUUACAAGUUACAAUUAUUUAUCACCCGUUCUUUAGUUUUGACAUCGUGUUAUUAUUCUAGUUCACGAUGUAUAUUAGUUGGUACACAGUACGGAGAUCUCUUGAUUUAAUAGCAUUUACAUAUUGUUGUUUUAUAUGUACAAAUUGAUAUAUAUGUUGUACGCAUUGAUUGAUAUCAUGUACUACUGGUUACUUUGUUUUGAAAUAUGAAUAAUUCCAUUUGGACACAUGAUUACACAUUUGGAUAAAAUUUUUUACACAUUAUUAAUUUAUUUGCUCACAUUUAUUUUUUCAAUCGUAGAAGUUACAAUUAUUUAUCACCCGUUAUUUAAUUUUGACAUCGUGUUAUUAUUCUGGUACAUGGUGUAUUUUAUCUUGUACAUUACAAACCAUAUCAUUUGAAAUCUAUUGCAUAGUUACUUCAAUCUAAUGCAUUGGUUAUGUGUUAUAUCCAUAGUAGCCCAUAAGUUUGUAGUAUAACUUUACAAUGUAUUCAUUUAUGGUCACGUAUGUACUGAAUUUUGAUUUUUGUUUAGAUUACUUUUGGUUGAUUUUUGUUUACACACGUUGUUAUAUAUUAUGUACACAUUUGCAUCAUAAUUUUCCUACGACCUAACAUCUUAAAUUUUGGACACAAUGUGUAUUUAAUUUUUACAAAUUAGUUAGUUUGUUGUUAUACACAGUGUUAGCAUGACUUUGCAACUAAUGUAAUAUGGUACUCGUGAUAACAGUUAUUCAGUGAAUCAAAUUUUGGAUCUUCCCCAGUUAUUCACUCAGAUAUGCAGUCUUGUAGGAUGGUAAGUCAGAUAUUGCAGUUGUAUGGAUAAUCAAGAUUUUGGAUAAAUUUAUAGGAUCUUAUUCAGUACAAUACUUAAUUGUAGCCCGGUGAAGCUUGAAUCACUCCUCAAAUACUGAGUGCUCAUAAUAUCCGUAUUAAAGAUCGUAACAAUCUCCCACUUUUGCUUCCCAACGAUCCUGUGAGCAAGACAAAGUACACAAGUUUCACCGAAUUCUUAAUGGUCAGUAAUUCUUUAAAAAGCUCAUUAUUUACAGUUAUUAUUUAAAACUAUUCUAACCUUGUUACAAGACUAUUGUAGGGCAUGCUUUUAUGAACACUGAACUUUUGAUUUAAAUAAUUUAUGCUUGUUUCAAUGAUUGCCAGACCCCCAAAGUGGCCUCUGUGGAAAGGUCAAAGAGCAGUACUCUCAUGCAAUUAAGCGACGAAGAAGUGCAACUACCUACGAUAUAAAUGGGUAGAAGCUAAUUGCCUUCCAUGAAUAUGUAUGCUAAGUUGAUGUAUCUUGUGACCCUUUUGGAACUGGAUUGGAACAAUGUAAUAUUAAAAUGAUUUUACUUUAAUAUUAGAUAGUAGUUUGAGAAUUGCAAUCAAUGCAGAAUAGUUUUACACCUUUUACUUCUAUUCAAUUGAUUACAAGAAGUUAUAUAUUCAUCGUGGUGUCCCAACCCUAUCUGCCGCAAACAAAAAUUGAAGCAUGUCCCAACAGUAUUGAACUUUGCUCCCAACACAAAAUUCUAUAUGUCCCACUAGUAGUAAAAACUUCAUAACUAAUGAACUUUGCUCCCAACAGUAAUCCCAAAAGGAGAUAAUUCUACACAAGUACAAAAUUCUACGCAACACAACUCAUAAAUUACUAAAUAUUUGUCAAUCAUUUAUUACAACUGGCUUUUUCAUCGGGGAGGGAUAUUUAACAACUCAAGGAUGGAUUCGGCCCAUUCGUUAUGCUCGGUUGCAACCAACAUAGACAUAUAUUGCACUCGAUACUUCCACAUGUUAUCCUAUCCAAGCAUUGAAAUAAUCAGCACCAUAUAUUAUACAUUAGUCAUCAUAAAAAUAAUUGCUACCAAAAAAUUUCUAUAAAUCAAAAUAAUAUAUAUACCUCUGUAAUGCGUAUGCCUAAUCUUCCAUUCCAGUGCUCCAGAAAUUUCAUUAUGAACACACCACAAUCAUAGCUAAAACACGAGGUAUACAUUGUCGUGACAACCAGAUUGUAGGACAUACAAGUUUUACCUUACCAUCCUAAUAAUAUAACUUAGUAUUUAGUUAUAUUUCAAGAUAGAAUAUAAAUAAACUCUUAUUUACAGGACAUAUACCUAUUGUGUGGAGACUGUUGAGGAACAUCUGCGACUUGCAAUACAAAUCCCUCGAAAUCCACCAAUUUAUCAAAUUGUUUUGCCAUUAUUAAGCCCAAGGUUCGCCUCUGCAAUAUAAAAAUAUAAUUUUCCUGAUUACACUUUCUCACUAGUUAUAUAAUAUAAAGCCAUGAAACAGAUGCAUUAAAAAUUCAAGGUAUAAAUAGUGUUUAGAUUUCACCAGUCAUCGUAAGAUGUUAGUCUGUCGAACCCGUGAUGAAUCAACUCGUGAGUCAAGGAGAUGAACAAUGCUUUGUGCAAUAUCAAAUGAGUAUACAAACCAGUGACUUUUGUUCACCACUGGAACCAGUAUCUGAAAAUAUAAUGUGUUAAACUUUACAAAUGCAACAUCUUUGAUAUAAAAUUAAAGGUAUUUGAUCUAGCAGUUAUAAGAGAUUGAUCACCAUAUCGGCAUUUGCUAGACUUGAUGCAUUAUCUGCUCUUAUUUUGAACCACUUGUUCAGUUUUGAAUAUAGGACAUCAUCAGACUUUUUCUCAAAUCGGUCUACACCUUGAAUGGUAGCCUACCCAACAAAUCAAUGAAAUUAGAUCGAAAGUCAUACGAUAGUUAGAAAUUGCACGAGCAAUUCAUACUAUUUAAUAAACAUUGAAAUCAAAUUUUCUAAUAAACUAACAAUAAGUGAAACUGUAUAUGCAUGAUGUUAGUUGGUGGUAAAAAAAAGUUGGUCAUUAUACUUACAACAACACAUGGCUCGACAAUGUACCGCUUAACCUUCAUUAGUCUUUUACUCACAUCAUUAUUCAAUAAUCUUGCAUACAUAUCAAUGACCUAAAAGAGGGGUGAGUAUAACAAUAAAAUAUUUUAGCAUUCCAAAAGGUGAGACUAUCUCCACAACUACAGCAGUUAACUUAGUCAAAUAAAAUAAUUUUUCUUUUUUUGUGGCUUACCCUAUCUGAUACCCAAUGCUUCUUCCGCAAGGAUUGCAUAUCUCUUCGGUUAAGGCUAAAUCCGAACAUAGACACUAAUAUCUCACUACAUUGAACAUUGAGUCAACAAUGUUAAGUUCAAUUAUAAAUGAAUAUGAAUAAAAAUAGCAUAUUACUCCGAAUAUUAUCGCAUGAAAAAAGAUUUUACCUCUCAUCUCUCGCGUCUUGCCAUGUGAAAUUCGCAAUCUUCCGGCUACAUUGUGUCAAAGUAGCUUGUAUUCGGAGCUGAUAAUCAGUAGACCUGAUGAGGGUGUUGUGCCUUGUUGUCCGCAAUGUCUUGUGCAUUCGGCCAUCUUCCGCAUCUAUAUUAAGUGAAGAAUAGCAAAUGUUUUUGUAAUGAUCAAUUUUUAUAUCAUUUACAAAGUGCAAUAACAAAUGAAAGCAGAAUUUUAGCUACAACAUAUAUAACUUGCCUUCACACUCUCUUUUUUUAUAUCUAGACCGACCCUUCCAUUGUGUUGCAGCACAUAGCGAAUGUUGCUCUACUGCAGCUCCUGAUAGGGAAGUUAGACCUGCAUCCAAGCAAUGAACUUCUGCAAUUGCCUUGGCAUCAUCUUUUCCUUCUUUAUCUUCGGGUUCACUUGCCUCAUUUUCACCAAAAUUCUCAUUCCUAUCCCCAGCACAUGUCUCGUCUUGGUUGUUUUCAUAUUCAAAUUUGUCCGUAUCAGAAUCUAUAACAACCUUUGCGUUCUCAUCAUCGAUCAUUCGCUUUUUUGUCCAUUUUCUUGUGGAUCUAACGGCUGCCUAGGAACAUGAUGGCAUGGCACUACGUUGCGAGCAAAGGAUACUGGAUAUAUUCAUUACACUUUGUUGACACUCGAUUGCUAUCCGCUCAGCAGUUGUCGCUUUUGUAUAUAGAGUGGUUAGAUGAAUUGAUAUAAAAAAAUAAAUGCAAUUAAUCCUCAUAUUCGUACAACUUCGGACAUAUUUGCAUUCGUAUUGCAUUUAAUUUGUUAUCUUACAGCAAUUUCUCCAUGUCCAUUAUUCACCAUCUGGCUAAUCACAUCCGAUGGAAGCUCAGUAGGUUCCUCUUGCUCAUUUUCUUCUCUGUUCGUUUUGUUUGAUCCCACCUUUGUGGACAAAAAAGUAUGUUGUAAGUUUCGCAAAGCAGUUAGCCGUAUAAUAUAAUGUCUUGCUAACUUAAAUUCCAAAAUAUCAUUGUUUCAAUAAUACUUACUAGCUUUCCUUUGCCAAAUUUUCCAAGACCACUCAAUUCUAGUGUUUCUCUUUCCAUUAUAUUGGCAUCAGUCCAUGCUUUUGCUAUAGGGCAGGUCCUACGAACACAAUGAUUGAGUAUACUUACUCGAUCAUAAUAAUGUAGCUGCAAAAUAAUAACAACUUAUCCUUGUUAGAUACAAUGAACAAAUAUAAGUUAAGAUCAUCCACUAGUUGAGAUUUCUUAACUUACCAGCAAAAAUAGGAUGCAACCUCCAACAUUUUUGUGGGCAUUGCUUUGCAUAUUCAACAAUUUUUUGUAUAAAUCAGCUCUGACGAACUCAGCCCAAUUGAAUUUUUCUAUUUGUGAAGUUGAUUGUAAACUCUCCCAUAAAUUGGCUUUAAUUUCAGCUCGUGUUGUUGGAGCAAGCAAGCACCCACAUGCAAAAAUAACAAAUAAUCUCUUGAAUUCAUCCCCGACCUCCAUGGAUAUUAGUUCAUCUUCUAUAUCAUGCCAAUUAUACUUCUUCUUCCUAGGAUAAUGUGGUUCGCUAUCAAUUCCAUCAUCUCCAGUAUCUUCAACCGGCACUAGCCCCUCACCUGGAAUUCCAAAAGCCUUUGCUAUAUCUUCUGACAUUACAGGCAGUACACGUCCACCUUCAAGUUGUAUGUAUGAGUGAGUUGGAUUGAAAUUUUUCACCAACCACAUGCAUAUCAUACUUGGAAGGUUGUGGCAUUGGAUCUCCAGCAAUCCACCAAAACCUAUUUCUUGGAUUGCAGCUAUUUUUUCCCCAUCAAUACGCCCCACAAACCUUAAAAAUUUAGCUGGUGUGCACCUAAACCUGUAUGCCUAUAAAAACAAUAUAACAAUGUUGAUAAAAUUUACCAAAUAACACUCCAAUACUUGCACUUGCGCUUUGAAACUUCUAAAUCAUUUAAUUUAAAAACAAUGAAAUUGUAUGCUAUGUCCUUACUUGUUUUGCUACAUCACUCUUUAUGCUUUCUCCCCUGUUAGCUAUAGACUCCUUGUAGCUUUUCAUCAGCUCCUUAUAUUUCUUCAUAUCUUUUUCAUUCUUCCAUACAAGCUUCUCCUCAUCACGCAAUUUGUUCCAUGCAUUUCUAGAGGCUAUGUUUAGCUCCUGCAUUGUUAAUGCCUUUCCCUUUGCUUUUUCCUUGCGUGCGAAGUCAAUCCUACCAACAUUUAAUAUGAUUAGAUCCUAUACAUUGACUUUUGAUUUUAUCAUGAGUUUUUUAACUAAUUCAAAGCCCCAAAUGUACACAAUAAUGCUUCUAUAAAGUCAUAUAUACCUGUAUGCAAUGAAAUCAGUUGGUGGCCUCAUCGGCUUUACUGGAUUCUUGUCAUGAAGUUCCUCAACCUGCUUGCCUUUAUCUUUUGUAACAUUCAUCUUCUUGGUUCCCCCAUGUCCCAUUUCAAACUGCACCAAAAUAAAUGACAUGAAAAAAACAUAAGAGAUAAUUUCGAUAUCCUAUCCCCUAAGGUUUCUUCACAGAAGUGUGUUAACUUCUGUUGUUACAAAUGUACAAGAGGUUUACAUAAAGUUACAAAAUGUUCAAAAUGAACUUCUUCAGAAAGAAGAAAGGUUAAGAAUUCCAAAAUAUUAUAAUACAUCUUUGCUGGAUAAAUAUUAAUUAAACAUUAUUUACACCAGGGUAACAUUAUGAAUUUCCUCUGCAGAAAGAAUAUAAAAUACACUACAUCUUUCCAAUUUCAAUCAUACAACUAAGGAGAGAUAAUGUAUUCCAAAAAUAAUUGUCUGAGUUUUGAUUUUUUCACAACACACUAAAUAGUCUGAAAAACAGCCUCCAAUGUUGACAAAAGUAAAAGCUGUUUUUAACUUAAUUAUGGCAUUUAAAUUUAUUCAGUUCAAAGACACGUAUAUGUAUAAAAAUAUAGUGUUAUUCUUCUUAGUUGAUAUUUCAUUACUAGGAAAUGAAAAUUCAAAACUCAAUAUGUAAUGCAACACUUAACUCCAAAAAAAUAAUAAAAUAAAAAUCAUACCUCAAAUUUUGGUAUGUUCCUCCUUGUUCCACCUUCAAAUGCAAGUACAGGCAAAAAUGCCAAGGUUGGUCCUUUAAUGUCCACAAGAAAGUUCUGCCAUGACAAUUAUGGUCAAAAACUAAGUGGUUAAAGCGGACAAGUAACAGUGAGGCCAUCAAAUGUAUACAUGCAUCUAAAGUUUGUAUACCUGUAUGAUUGUGUUUUAGUAGAUACAAGUUGUGGAAUCAUACCAUGUUAUAGAUAUACAAGCGUCACUAGUUAUAGUCUCAAGAAAUGAUAUGGACACGGCACCCUCUUAUUUAUCAGAUUGUUUCUCUAGAUGUUUGCAAAAGCAAAAUUUUUCUGAUUGUGAUCAUAAUGUGGCAGGAAACCAGGAGAAGAAUCUUUCAGGAAAGAGGAAAUAAACAGAAUUUCUUAGAUAAAGUCCACAACAUCAGCCUUUCUUAGCAAGCUCAUGUCUGAGAAAUUUAAGCACAAAAACUUACCCUUUUCUGCGAGCUUUCAACCCAAUACUUAUUUGGCUUUGAAAACCUUAGCACAGCAUCACCAUCCUAAAAAUGAUAGCAAUGCAGCUUAAGUUCUCAUUUUCAUUGUCUUUCCGCAUCUUCAGUUAUAAUUUUGGGCUCAAGCCACGACGGUUUUAGAUAGAGUUUAAGUUGAUUUAAUCUACUACUCAAAAAUUUUAAAAUUUAAUGAACAAGACAACAAUGGCAAAGGCAAAAGAAAUUUUUCGAGCUUCUGGAUACCUUAAAUUCAGUUUGCCCAUCAAUAGGCAAAAAAACCAAAUAUUUUAGCAUAUCAUGAUUGCCAAAAGAAAAAAAAAACUUGCAAUUAGGUUGAACAGAAUAUAAUGCAAAACUGAACAAAACAGGAUCAGAUUUUUUUUGACAAUUUCUCAUCAUUUCCUUUCGUUCUUCUAAUAUUGCGGGUUCUUUGGACUGAUUACUAGAUUUUCAAUAAUUACACAAUUAUAUAAAUUAAUUAAAAUCAAAAUUAAACCACAACAACUUAGGCAGCAAAAAAUUGACAUUAAAAAUUGAAAAAUUCAAUCAACAUAAUUGAGAGGGGCAAAGAAAAACCCUAGUGAAAACGGAGACAUUACAGGAGAAAUUACAGAGAAAUUACUAGUUUGUUACAAGAUAAAAAUAAAAAAUCAGGAAGAAGACAUUACAAACCUGUAAUUUCUAGUUAACAACGAAAUUAUUACUGAUUACGAACUAGUAACAAUGAAAUUACUAGUUCGUAAUCUAGUAACAAUGAAUUACGGACUAGUAACAACGAAAUUAUUAGUUCGUAAUCUAAUAACAAUGAAAAUACAAAGAAUUUUGACCCCAAUGAAUUAAAAAAAAUGUCAAAAAAAUGAAGAGUAUCAAAGUUGUCAGUACGUUACAAGGGCAACAUAGGAGCAGAGAGUGUAAAAGAUUCCAUCUUACCUUGGAUUAUGCAGUUUCUCCUCCUCCAAAAAACACCGUGGGUCUUCUUUAGGAUGAAUUCAGGCAGUUGUUUUGGAAAUUAGCAGACAACGGGGAGUGAAAUGGGAGUGAUUUUGUGGAGUGAAAUGGAAGUUCUUUUGUGGAGUGAUUUUUUGCAUUAGCAGACAACGGGAAAAGGGUUUGGGAAAUGGGGAAAGUGAAAUGGGGAUUUCCGAUAAAAAGGAACUUUUCAUUAAUUAUUUGGGAGGGAUAAAUUUGACGCCAUUUGACGAUGAUGCUUCAUCCGUUUCUACAAUUUUCAUUUUUUUAUUUGCCACUCAAUAAAACGACGCCGUCUUCUUCAGCUCAUAUAACUUUGUGACGUGGCUUCGUUUUGGCCGUUGAUGAUGGUCCACCACAUCUUGGCCAUGAAAAGUUUAUGAGCGGUUGUCCAUCUUGGCCAUGAAAAGUUUAUGAGCGGUUGUCUGACAACCGCUCCAGCCCCUUGUCCUGGGUACGACAACUCAUUAUGUUGAAGCCUCGGAGACAACCGUGCUAGAGACCUUGGCCCUUUUUGUUUUUUGGGCCAGAGAGACUUUGACUUUGACUAAUUCAUUUUUUAUCUGUAACAUUGACAGAGUAAACGAUGGAAAAAAAAUGGAAAGCUAUUGAAAACCCAGGUCUUGCUUCUCAUUUAUUAUUUGAGGUCACGAUGUAACAGGUCCAUGCAUUUGAGUGGAAUGCACAUUGGAAUUUGAUUUGGAUAAGAAUUUAUUCAUUUCUAGCUUGAUUAGUGACAAAUAAAAAUUCAUAUGACUUUUAAUCACUCUUGGUCUGAUUUCAAUAAGUAUAUUUAAUGUACAAAUUAAAGAGCAACAAAUAAGAAUAAGAAAAAAUCAUCUUGUUCCGUUCACCUUUUCAGGUUCAUAUUUUUUAAACAGGUUCAUAAUUGUUUCAUGAUUCGUGUUUCAGAUUUACAGUGAAAUGAUUUGAAACAACUUAGGAGGGAAAUUACAUAAACAUAAAAUUGACAAGUUAAAGAGAUACUUGGGAUUGAGGUGGAGGAAGGUUCUUUUUCGUCGUUUAAAGAGAUAAAAUUUUUUGGGUACAAUUUCUUGAGUGCAAUGAUCACGUCUCUAUAUCUAGUUCAAUAUUUCUGCCUUUUUGCGAUUGAUAAAUUAAAACCACACCAGAAAUGUCAAAGUGCAUAGGCUUGUUAUCAAAUACUUAGAAGUCCCAAAAAUAUAUUCCACUGUGUUGUUGUAAUCCCAAUUAUGCUGGCUUUUAACAUAUUGUUAAUUAAUCAAUUGUGCUCUUUUUUUUAAAAAAAAAUUUGUUAGCUAUAAUUGCGUUAGAAGACUCAAAUUAAAAAGAGAUAUAUAUAUAUAUGUUCUUAAUGCCUUUUCCAAGUGAAUACUAAUUAAUCACGUACAACAUGUACGACACCUGACUUGAGGAACAAUCUGAUGGCUACAAUGAAGUAACCGAAGAGCAGAAUAUGAAAUAUUUCUUACUAUUUCUUACCAGAAUUUGUUCGAGAUUGUGAAUUUUGUGCAUCAGUUUCGAAGCCUAGGAGAAAAUUUUGAAGAAAAGUUUGUUCCUAUAUUUUUUAUUCACACACACAAGAAUGCAAAUACGAGUCAAGUUCAGGUUUAUCCUCUAUUGUGCGUGAGACCAUCGAAGGAAAUUAUAUCUGAGUUUAUAUUUCAACGAUCGGGCUUUAGGUCCUGGACAGGGCUUAGCAGGAGACAUAAUGGCUGGGAAAAGUUUGUCCCAUCAUGUGCAUGGUUGAACGGGUCUGGUAAACAAAUCGAAUCGGAUCAAAAAUGUUAACCGCCUGGCGUGAUUUGAAAUUUCAAAUUUAAACUCGAGUUCUAUUCAAUUUAACAGUUAAUAUUCUCAUGUUUAACUUGAAUUUUUAUUCAAAUUUUUAGUAAUCAUAUAAAUAAUACAUAUAUAAUAUUAAUAUAAUAAAAUAAUGUGUAAUUUUAUAUGAAAUAUCAAUAAAUAUAUUAUAUAAAAAGUUAAUCAAGCCUAAUCAAACCUUGAUCAGCGAAUAUAUACAAGUUCAAAUUCGAUUUGAUACUCAACUUAAUCAAAUCCUAUUCUCGUUUAAAUUUGAGUUUACGUUCGUUAAAAAUUGAAAUUAAGCCGAACCCUUGAUGAAUCAAUCGAGUUAAAAUUGUUCGCUAAAAAUUCAAUUUGUUUACAGCCUUAUGUUGAUGGUCUAAAUCAUGGCUGUACUGUGCAAUUCACGGUCUAAUCAAGCCAAAUGCUAAUUGUUCGAUUUGGACUACUCAUAUAAAGAUGAUUAAGCAUAAGAAACUUCAUAUUGUUUUUCCUCUGUCCCUACAAUUCAUAGAAACAUUCAUACACUUACAAGACCUUAUUUAACCUUAUUUUCAUCUUAAGUUUUUCUUUCUUCAAAUUCUUUAUGUUCGUUUAAUGGAUACGUUUUCAUUAUAAAAACCUUUUAAUGAUUAGGGACCAAGUAAUUUUUUGUUGUUGUUUUAUAGUUUAAGAAGUGAUUUAGUUGCAAAUUAGCAUUUAGGAUGCAAAGGUGCACAGCUUAAUGAAUAAAACCUUUUGUUGUUCGUUUGAUAUUUCUAUUAUACCCCUAGAGUUGGCUAAAAAUUUUGAAGGCAAAAUGAGUAAAGAAAAACAAUAUUAGGGGACAAACUGUAAAUUAACUAGCUAUAUCUCACGGGGAGAUUUUGUAAUUAAUUCUAAUUUUAAUUAACAUUCCUAGAGAUAUUUGAAAUCUGUCCAUGAAGUUGAUUAUGGGAAAAAAAAUUUAAGAGCAAGAGUUGGAUUGAUAAAUUCUAAAAGGAAGGUGAUAUGGCACGUAAAUUUUCAGUGAAGGAAAAUUCCAAAGAGUAAAAUGCUUUCUGUCACAGAACCCACGUAAGAAUCCGAGACUCAAGUAAUGCACUUAUAAAAUAUGGCUAAAAUCGAUCACAAGUUAAUUUUGUAGAAGAAUGUUUCAUCAAAUUCUGAUGCAACUCCAUUUGAUGAUUAAAAUUUAAAUAUUGUAACAUAAACUAACAAUCAAUAUUAUGGAUUUUUCUUUUAUUUUGUAACUGUAAUUCAAAUUUCAAACUUCCAGAAUUUAUACAUGAAUAAAUUAAUUGUACAAGUUGUUUGAGAAAGGAAAUUUUUUGAGUUGCCAUAUAAACGGCAGACUUGCUAUCAAUACUUGAGAAACGAAGCUUUUCUCUUGAUUUCUCAAAACACUUGAUUUCCCCUUACAGAUUUGAAGCAUAGUUAUUAAACUCAGAUCAGCCGAUGGUCGAUUAAUGCCAGCAAUUUAAUCGAAUUAGACUGGAAUCCGACCGAUUUUGUCAACGAACCGGAUUUUAUGGAAAAGAUGUUAGUAAGCUCUUAUCAAGAUUUGAACUUAGGACUUUAAGCAUAAAUGUAUAGUAUACUCACCACCAUACCACUUGACAUAUGUAAGUUGAAUAGCAUUCUUAUGCUAUAUGAAUGUUUUGUCAAUUCUAUCUUUGUUCUUUUUUAUUUUUCCAAAACAAAUUUAUUUGAAAUCUUUUAAUAAAAAUUUAUGACCCCCCUCCCCAAACAUUAUAAGUUAUAAAAUGGAUUUUAAAAAUAUUAUAUUACAUAAUCUAUUUUAAAGACAAUUAUUGUUUUAAAUAAUUAUUUGCACUUAAGAUUUGUAAAUAAACUCGAUAAUUACACUAAAUACGAUAAAAUUUUAUGCUUGAAGUUUGGUGAAUUAUUAAUUAAAUUUAUGUUUUGUUGAUUCUUAUAUGAAUUAAUUAUUCUACAAUGAAUUAAAUUAAAUAAGCAUUUACUAUGGCAUUUUUUAUUAUAGUUUAUAACAUAUAUCUCAUAUCAAAAAUUAUGAGACAUAAUAUUUAAUUAUAUUUAGUGACCCACUAGUUCAACCAUUCAUCAACUGGUUGAACCAGUGACUCGUUGACCCACCUCCUUCAUCAGAUUCCUUUGUGGGCCGGGUUUAAUAACUAUGAUUUGAAAAGUUAUUUUUGUGUUUUAGAAAAUGGAUAAUAAUAAUUACAAGUAUCAGAGUUGGGAUGGCCCAACAUUUGAGUUCAAAUGCGCCAUAGCAUCCAGAGAGCUAUUGUUAAAUCUGGAAACAUUUCAGACUUCAAAACACGUAGUUUGGGCCGCCAACGUCCACUUGCACAGAUUUGUGUAGGUUUUCUAAACGACUCAACAAUCCCCCACUAAUUUGCAAAACAUGUGUAUCCUAAACCAUGAACUCUUCAAUAGUUCAACUUUAAUGGAUGAAUCUUAAGCAUAAUCAGAAGUAUCUCUUGAUAAUUUCAAAAAAAAAAAAAAAGAAGUUUCCCUUGAUUUAAACUUCUAACUGGUAUAGAUGAUUUAAAUUUUUAAUGUAGUUGUUAGUGUUCUUAAAUUAGGGAAGUUCUACAGUCUCUUUAGAGCACUGUGCCGAUGAAAUUAAAUUUAUUGUUGGAUAUAAAAUAGGAAUUAUCAAUCUUUAGAUUAUUUUAAGAGUUUAAAUUACUAAAUGAUAUGAUAAGAUAUGAGUAGAUUAAAAUUAUAGAUACCGUACCCAAAAAGGACUGUAGCAUUUUUCAUUAAAUUAAACUAUAUCUCUUAAAUGUCAAAGCACAGCACAAUUAAUGAUAUAUACUUUUCUCGAGGUUAAUAUUAGCUUUACAGCUAUUUUACCCACGUGUUAAUCCUAAUUUCACAGUCAUCUACAAAAGUAUGCUCAAACUCUUGUUGAAGUGGCAUCACUUCAAUACUUAUAUAGGUGAGAUUGUGCUUGUAAGAGUUCAAAUUGAAGGAACUUGAAGGGACGUUUUGUUGCUAAAAAGGAGGCUCUAGAAUCAUCUUUUGGACUCCUUUUUCUCUACAUAUAUAUCAUUUGAGCAAAAAUCAAGAGCUAGGAAAAGGAGAGUGAAACAAAUACCACACAAGAUGUAAAACUUAGUUAGUUUCUUAGUUCUUUAGCUUAGUAUAGGUUAGGUAGUUUUAUUGCAAACUUGUAUCUUAACUUGGAUGAACAUCAAGAUUGAAGAAGAAGAGAGGGAGGCCCACAUGUGACAAGGGGUUUUUUCUUUUCCAACCCUUUAAUUCUUGUAUUAGAUUCCAAUGUUUAGCCAUAAUAUAAGUUUAUUAUUUACUUUUAUUUUCUUCAUGUUUUGUUAAGUUUAUAUCUAGAGUUAUAGAUGAAUUUUCUAUAUCUUGUUUGUGAGGUUUGCUUGCGUAUUUGAUACUGUUAUUUUAAGCAACUUAUUUAACACUUUUGCUUAUCUAAUCAUGAUUAACUGAUCAUUAAUUGUAAUAAUUUCAUGGUGUUAAAUUUGCGAUGAGAAUUGAAAUUUAACAUUAGUUCAAGAAAGUGCUAAAUAUAUGGAGUAACUCACAAAAAUAGAGGUGCACUUUUGUGACUUUCGUGACUUAUUCCAUUUAAUUUCAUAGAAUUUAAUGAACUUGUAGUCAAUUUUAUAAUUAUGAGAGUAACUGUGGAUUAGUUAUAGGUAUGUUCGGUAUACUGGUUAUAGGUAUGUUCGGUAUAAUUAUGAGAGUAGAUAUUGCAUACAUUAGGAAAUUACAUCAUAACUAGUUAAGGUAGUAAUAUUCAAUUAACUGGUAGAUUCAUUUGCAAGAGUAGUUAUGAAUUCUAUGACUCUAGGAGCUUUUUAUUGUUGUUUUUACUUCCAUUUAUUACACAUUUGUAGUGCAUAUAAAAUUUCUCGUACUUGUGAUCAUCUAGAAAGGACCGUGUAUUCCAUUGAUGAGUUGAAUAACCCAGAGGAAAUAUUAUCUAAAAUUCCAGUGAGGCAAUUAUUGCCCAAGUCUAAAUGCUCCAGAUAUUCCAAAUUACCAGUGACUUGGAAAGCUUCCAAUGAAGUUAUUGCCGUUGAAAUUGAUGUAUCCAUGGGUGGGUAAUUCAUCCAACAAUUAGGAAUUUCUCUUGAUAGAAAAUUUGCUUGAAAAUUUAGACAUGUAAGAUAUGGUUUUCCAUUUUUCACUUCACACAAAAAGUGAGAAACAGCUCCUGAAAACAAAUAGUUGGAAAGGUCUAGAUAUGAGGUAAAUGAGAAAUUAAUUGUGGCAGUGGGCCGUUGGAUCUAUAUGACUAUAGUGUACAUGUGUACAUGUAAACCUCUAACAAUUUCAGAGAUAUUUGAACGCUUAUUAUGAAGUUGAUUGUGAGAAAGGUUCAUGUAAUUCGUAGAUGAGUUGAAUAACCAAGGAGGAAUAGUACUUGAAAUUCUCAUAGAGGACAAAUCCAAAUAACAAAGUUUCUUUUAUGACUUGAGCCAUGUAGGAAAUUAAGAACCUAGCUUCCACGGACCCAAUCCAAGUCCUUUAAAGGCAUAAGGAUUCCAACUUGCCCUUACUUUUAAGGUCAAGAGUUUUAGAUGCAUAAAAAUGUUUAAAAACUUGUCAUAUUGUUAAGUAGAUUGUCACUCACAAAGCCUUCUAUGAAAUUAUCGUUAAUAAAAAGGUAUUCAAGUUUGGAAAACUGCCCAAGACUUUCAGGAAGGAUUCCAGUGAGUUUGUCUGUACUUAUAAACAAGUGCUCUAAGGAUGACAGAUUUCCAAAAUUUGAUGGAAUUGAACUAGCAGAGCAUUGUCACAAAGCAAAAGAUAUUUUAGAUUGGUGUGGUUGCCAACAGUGCUUGGAAUUGGAUCACUCAAGUAAUUACUACUUGUAUCAAAUGUAAUAAAGUCCUUUCGAUGUGAAUAACUCACUUGGUAAAGAGAAGCUAAGGUUGUUAUGAGAUAGAUCAAGAUAUUGAAGGCUGGAAAUGUUAGCAAUAGAGCUUGCCAUAUAACCUUGAAAGUCAUUGGAGCCAAGAUCAAGUGAAAUUAGGACAGUUAAAAGUGGAUAAUACGCUUGAGAGAGAGGCAGAGAAGGUAUUAUUGUACAGAUCCAAAAAUGUAAGGGAUCUCCAAUUCCAAGUUCCAUCAGGGAAUGUAACUUCAAAUUGAUUUGACGCAAGGUUGAGAGAAACGAGGUUAUUACUGAAAUUGUUUUGACUUAGAUCAAGGUAAAGCAAUUGAGUAAAAUUUUGUAAUGCAUGACUGAUAUCACCACUUAUAGUGAUUUCAAAUUACGCUCUAUUGCAUUGACGUGAAAGUAGUACGGAUGAAUAUUGAACAUAGGAACAAGAUAUUGAAGACGAAUAUUACUAGUCAAUUUGUUCGAACUGAGGUCGAGAUUUUGAAGCUUCCCAUUAGUCCCUAGCCUUUAUGGGAUGCUUUCAGUGAAACUGUUCUGCCAUAACUGCAACACUUCGAGCUCCGGCUAGUCUCCAAUGAAGUCCGGUAUCGACCCUUGAAGUUGGGUUCGGAAAAGAUUCAAGAGAGUCAAAAUUUUCAGCUUGGCAAACGAGGAAGGUAUUUCGCCGGUGAACAUGUUGCUGGACAGAUCCAUAUAUUUCAAGCUUUUCAAUUACCCUAGCUCCGGCUUCAACGGCCCAGAAAACGCAUUCACUUGAGGAAAGAGAGUAUCCGAGUUCUGCAACUUCCCAAGCUCCGGCAGAAUCUCGCAAGAGAGGCCAUAGUUGGCUGCAUCUGCGAUAAGUUGCCAAUUUCUGGUGGGAUCCCACCGGAGAAAGUGUUGAAGUAGCCAAUGUAAAGUUGUUGAAGUUUGGUCAAGUUUACUAACUCUGGUGGGAUCUUACCCGAGUUCAUUGCCAGAAACGGCGAGGUAUUCGAGAUUUGGAAAUGUACAAUACGCCAUGGGAAUGCUUUCGGUGAAGAAGUUACCGCCCAAAUGGAGAUGCAUGAGGUAUGUUAACUGAUAAACGUCCACCGAACAUGUUAUUAUUGUCGAAAUCAAGCACCUCAAGAUUAUUUAGGCGAAUGAGCUCCUGGGGAAAGGUGAGGUUAAAGAUAUUGUUGGACAGGUUUAGGUAGCGGAGGGUGGAGAUUUCAGGAGGGACGGGACAACAGAACUGGUUGGCCGCGAGGGAGAGGUUAAGGAAUAAGCGGAGAUGGCCAACAUCAGGGGAAAGGGUCUGGUGAGAUUAAUCCCGGAAAUGUCAAGAGCAGCCACGUGAUGGCAACCGGAACAAGUGCUUCAUAUUCAAAUCAUUUGUUCGGGAUUUUGUGUGCCCUGUCUAUUUCAUCUUUAUUUUAACUGCCAUGAGUAUUACGACAUGUAUGUAUUGUGCUAUGUACUUAUCCUCCAAUAAAAUUAUAAGAUUUAUUAAUUGUUCAAUUUAUUUACAAUAAAAUUGUAAGACUUGUUAAUCAAUACACGUGAUAGUGAAAUAGAGGCAGGAUCGAGACAAAAUUCGGGACAGAUGAUUUUAAACAUAGGCCAUGAGCAAUGACUCGUGGAGGGCAAUGUUUAAAAGGCAAUCACUCAUCUUGAGUGUAAAUUUCAGAAAUUUUGAUUUUUUAAAUAUAUAAAAAAUAAAAUAUACAAUAAUACAACAAAAUUACAAUAUUCAUACAUAUAUGUGUAUAUAUACUAAUAAACAUAAAUUUGAAAAAAAUUAAGAAAAUUACAAAAAUAUUAUUAUUGUCUAACAAAUAAAAUCGCAACAUAACUCUAACUCAUAUAUUAGUUAUUUACCUAGAAUCAUGCUAAUAAAAAAUAGUUAUAUUUUGGGAUAAAAAAUGAAAAACUAUUAGAAAAGUCUUGAAUGCUUUUAUUUUGUAUUUUUCCUAAACUAUUUUCAAAGAGAAAAUAAAUAGAGUCAUUCUUCAAAAUUAUUAAACAAUAAUCAGGACAGGAAACAGAGAUAAGGAAGAUAAAAUAGUAAAAUCAAAGUUCAAAAUAAUGAAAAGAAAAAUAUACAAAAAUGCCAUGAAUGCCCAAAUGCCCAAUGCCUUAAACACUCAUAUGUUCGCCCCAUUCAAACAUUCUAGGGCAUUUGGGGCUCAUCUCGCCCCGGGGUUUGCCCCGAAACUCGCCCCAAAAAUGCUUUUUAAAUUAAUGGUGGAGGCAUUCCAGGAUGAUAAAGAAGAUUAUGGGUCGUCGGUAAUGGCGGAUUUUAUGGAGAGUAAUGCCUUGUACACCGGCAUUCAGGGUGUUGUUGCCGCAAAGGCAGAAUGGAGUAAGAAGAACUAAAAAAGAGGAGGAGAGCAAAACUGUUGUGGUACAGAACCUAAGAUCCAGCUGGGAAUGGAAAAUAAUGCUGAAGUAAUCGAACUUUUAAUUGACGCUCAAAUGAAUUGCAAACUCAAUUGAAUGAACCACUAAUUUAUUGAUGAACUUCAAAUUGGAUACAGAAACAGAUUUGGCGGGAAAAGGAAGAAGGGGAAAAAGAAUGCAGGAAACUUGAGGGAAAAGACAGAGGGAAUAUUUCCUCUCUGAUUACAGAACAAAUCUAGACAAAAAGCUCCCUAUCUAUUACACGAUCAAUUCAUUUAUAGGAAAUUAUCCUAACUAACUUAUUUCCGUAGCUAAUAAACAAAUGACACGUGUGGUAGGAAUCUCAGGUUGUUUGGAUUCCAGUUCUCGUACAGAAAGCAUGAACCCAGAAUGGGCGUGCUUCCUUGGUCGCGCCUUUGUUGCUUCUCCCGCGCCUUCCCCUUUGUUGACUUCGCGCCUUCACUCUUUUGCUCCCAUCCACUUGUUGUUAUUUGUUGGUUCGCGCCUUUCCUUGCCUGUCCUUGCUAUCCCCACGCCUUUCCCUUUGUACUCCCCACGCCUUCUUACCUCCAGCUACCUACUUCAUUACAAUGCUUCCCCCUUGAGAACAAAUCUUGUCCUCAAGAUUGGAAAGUAGGGAACUGUUGUUUGAUUCCUUCGGCGUCCUCCCAGGUGGCCUCUGCAGGAUCAGUGCCCCACCAGUGGAUCAGCCACUGUGUUGCUGCAGCAUUUCUUCUCUUCACCAUCCUCCUAUCCAACACUGCUACUGGUUCUACCCUCCAGUGUCCUCUCUCAUCCGUGUCUGGCAAUUGAAGUGUAGGGGAGACUUUGUUCCCCACCUUUUUCUUGAGCAGGGACACAUGGAAAACAGGGUGGACUUUUGAGUGAGCUGGUAGGUUCAGUCUGUAGGCCACAUUUCCUAUCCUUUCUUCCACUUUGUAAGGACCAAAAUACUUGGCUGAGAGUUUGGUGUUCCCUCUCAAGGCUACUGAAGACUGUCUGUAUGGUUGUAGCCUCAGAUACACCCAAUCUCCUGUAUUGAAUUCCCUCUCACUUCUCCUCUCAUCAGCAUACUUCUUCAUCCUUUCUUGAGCCUGUUUCAAGUUCUGCUUCAGUAAGCUGUCAAUCUGUUGUCUUUCCUUGAUAUACUCUUCUACUGUAGCUACUCUGGGCUGCUGAUAAGGUCCCAGAGCUAGUUGGGGAGGGGGAAUGCCAUAUAGUGCUUCAAAAGGGGUCAUCUGAAUAGCAGUGUGAUAGGAGGUGUUGUACCACCAUUCUGCCAUAGUUAACCAUUGGUUCCAUUUUCUAGGUUCUGUAUGAGUCAGGCAUCUGAGGUACAUUUCCAGCACCUGAUUUACUCUUUCUGUCUGGCCAUCAGUUUGUGGAUGAUAGGCCGUGCUGUAGUUCAGCUUGGCCCCCAGCAUACUGAACAGUUCCCCCCAGAAUUGACUAACAAAUAUCCUAUCUCUAUCUGAAAGCAUGCACUGAGGAAUCCCAUGAAGUUUACUAACAUGAUCAAUGAAGAGCCUGGCUACCUUUGGGGCAUCAAAAGGAUGAGUGAGACUGAUGAAGUGAGCAUAUUUUGUGAAUCUAUCUACUAUCACCAUUAUGGUAUUCUUUCCUUCUGACUGAGGCAAUCCUUCAAUGAAAUCCAUGGUGACAUGGCUCCACGAAUGUUGAGGUGUAGGCAGGGGCUGUAGCAGGCCUGGAUAAGCUACAUGUUCAUCCUUACACUUCCUGCAUGUGUCACAUUCCAGAACUUUCUCCCUGAUAGCUUGGUACAUUCCUGGCCAAUAGAACAGUAGCUUGGCUCUCUGGUAGCUAGCCUGGACUCCUGAGUGUCCCCCUAUUUGAGAGUUGUGUAGAGCAGUGAUGAUCUUUUCCCUGAUGUCUCCCUGUCCUCCUACUACCAGCCUUUUCUUGUAUCUGAGUAUAUCAUCUUGGUAGGAGUAAUCUGGCACCUGUGUGGGGGUCAGGAGCACCUGUGAUAUGGUUUCCUUGAUCCAAUUGUCUCCCUUAUAGCUCUCCUGCACUUCUCUGAUCCAGGUAGGUACUGCACAAGAUAUGGCUGAGCAUUCUUCUCUGCCUUGCCUAGAAAGUGCAUCAGCAGCCACAUUGUCUUUCCCUUUCUUGUAGUGAAUCUCAUAUCUCAGUCCUAGUAACUUGGUGAGCCACUUCUGCUGGAGGGGGGUGGUAAUCCUUUGUUCCAGCAAAUACUUCAAACUCUGGUGGUCAGUGUUUAUGAUGAAGUGGUGUCCCUCCAAAUAAUGCCUCCACUUGGAUACAGCAGUCACUAGUGCCAGCAAUUCCUUCUCAUAGAUGGAUAGUCCCAUAUUCUUUUGUCCCAGGGAUUGGCUGAGGUAGGAGAUGGGUCUCCUGUCCUGCAUUAGUACUGCACCUAUGCCAUGGUAGCAGGCAUCGGUUUCAAUGAGGAAUGGUUGAGUGAAAUCAGGUAUGGCUAGGACAGGGGUGCUGCACAUGGCCUCCUUUAACUCCUGAAAGGCUUUCUCUGAAUCCUCACUCCAGUGGAAGUUGUCCUUCUUCAACAGGUUGGUCAAAGGCCUUGCUAUGGCCCCAUAUCCCUUGACAAAUCUCCUGUAGUAGCCUGUCAACCCCAGAAAUCCCCUCAACUGCUUAAUAUUUGUUGGUUUUGGCCAGUUCUUCAUGCACUCGAUCUUCCCUAGGUCAGCCUGCACCCCUUCUGCUAAAAUUAUGUGUCCCAAAUACUCCACCUGCAGUUGUGCAAAGGAGCAUUUACUCCUCUUGGCAUAUAGCUGGUGCUGCCUCAGGAUGUCCAAGACCUCAGUUACUUGCUGAACGUGUGCCUCCAUGGUUGGACUGUAGACCAGUAUAUCAUCAAAAAACACCAGUACAUGUUUUCUCAUCUGCUCCUGGAAGACUUGGUUCAUCAAGCUCUGGAAGGUUGCAGGGGCAUUGGUCAAGCCAAAUGGCAUGACCUUGAACUCAUAGAGUCCUUGAUGUGUCCUGAAGGUUGUCUUUGGAAUGUCCUCCACCUUGACCCUGAUUUGGAAGUAACCUGCCCUUAAGUCAAUCUUAGUGAAGUACCUGGCCCCAUGCAGCUCAUCAAUCAGCUCUUCAAUCAAGGGCAUAGGGAACUUGUUCUUAAUUGUCAGCUCAUUCAGUUGACUAUAGUCCACACAGAAUCGUCAUGAUCCAUCCUUCUUCUUGACUAGCAACACUGGAGAGGCAAAGGGGCUGCUGCUAGGCUGUAUGAUGCCUAUUUCUAGCAUUUCCUUCACUAAUUUUUCAAUUUCUGUUUUCUGUACGUAGGGGCAUCUGUAGGGCCUUACUUGAAAAGGCUUGGCUCCUUCCUUCAGAUUAAUCUGGUGAUCAUGGCUUCUGGUAGGUGGCAUCCCCUUAGGCUCUUCAAAAACAUCUUGGUACUGGUCCAGAACUUGACUGAUUUCAGCAGGUGUUUGCUUUGGAUCAGCUGCCUCCACCACUGCUGCCAAUUGUGCUACUACCCCAUAAGGUUGCUUCCUCAGCCACCUCUUCAGCCUGUUCCCCUUGAGUCCUCUCAGCUUGACACUGCUAUCCUCCCCUCUUAGCACUACCUUAUGUUUUCCUUGGUGGAUCCUCAUACUGAGGUCCUUGAAAUUGAACUCUAUGGGACUAUGCUUUGCCAAUCAGUCUACUCCUAGAAUCAUGUCACAGCCUCCCAACUUAAGAGUGUUGAAGGUGUGCUGGAAUUGGUGUCCCUGCAUUUCCCACUGCAGGGGUUUGUCCAAUCCCUUUGAAUCCACCUUUUCACCAUUUGCCACAUUGACCAACAAGCUAGGCCCCUGAGUACCAAGCCUCAGUUCUAUUGCUAGUUGUUCAUCAAUAAAGCAGUGGGUGCUGCCACUGUCUAUUAAGGCAGUGACCUGUCUUCCUUUGGUCAAACCUUUAAGUUUUAUGGUCCUGUGUCCUGCACCUCCAGCCAAGGCGUGCACAGACACCUCUAUAUGUUCAUCAGCCAGCUCUCCAUUAAUACAGUCACAGUACACCUCAUCCCCCUGUUCUUCACUCCCUCCUGUAGCCCCCUCCUCUUCAGCCAAUAGAUAGUGAACAUGGGACUGUUUGCAUACAUGUCCCAUGGUAUAAGGUUCUGCACAUUUAUAGCACAAUCCCUUCUCCCUUCUCAGGUUAAACUCUUCAGGAGAAAUCCUUUUGAAUUGAUUUUGGUUGAGGGAAUUUUGGUUAUAGGUUCUAGGAGUGUGUUUGGGGUUAUCCUGGUUCCAUUUGGGAUGAGUAAGUGCCUUUAAUGGCCCUUUCUGGCUAUGGAAACUAGCAGGAGCAGGUUUGUGUAUCUUUUGUAUGGCCUUAAGGUUCCUUUCUUGCAGUUUAGCUAUUUCAAUGGCAUCAGCAAGAGAUUCAGGUUUAGAUAUCUUAACCAUAUUAACAAUUUCCUCUUUCAGUCCACUCAUAAAACAUGCUUUAUAGUAGGAAUCAGACAAAUGUGGUAGGGAUGGCAUUACCAGGGCUUUAAGCAUCUCGAAUUUCUCCAGAUAAUCAGCUACUGAUCCAGCUUGUGUCAGCUUGUUAAACUCCUCGAUGGCCUCUUCAGGUUUCCCUUCUCCAAACCUGACACACAGAGCAGUAGUCAGCUCCUCCCAGGGUAUGAUCUCCCUUCCAUGGAACCAAAUGUCUGCCCUAUCCCUGAAGUAGAGCUCAGCCACAUCAGAUUUCAUAUCGUCUUCUACUCCAUGUAUCUUGAAGUAUUUGUUGGCCUUCCUGAUCCACUCUCUAGGAUUGUCCCCAGUGAAAACUGGUAGGUCCAUCUUAGGUAUCUUGUGGUCAUUCCUGAACUCUCUCCUUCCAGACGAUUCUCUCCGUGGAUCCAAUUUAGAUCCUUCUGGUUGAGUUACCUCCUUAGAACUGCUGCUUCCUUCCUGGUCUUUGCCUCGAUCAUUCACCUUAGACAUAAGUUGAGCCAUCAUGUUCAUCAUUCCCUCAUAUUUCUGAUCAAUCCCCUUCAAUAGCUUUUCAGUAGCAUCUUGCCUGAAUUCCAUUGAUCUGAUAGCCUGCUCCAUUCCCUCAUUUUUGUUAGUGAAGGUCCUGACCACACUGCCGAGCUCCACUAUCUCCCUCCUCAGAGUCUCAUCCUGAUUUUUCGUCAUCCCUAUGGCUUGUUACCUCAGCUCUGAUACCACUGUUGUGGUACAGAACCUAAGAUCCAGCUGGGAAUGGAAAAUAAUGCUGAAGUAAUCGAACUUUUAAUUGACGCUCAAAUGAAUUGCAAACUCAAUUGAAUGAACCACUAAUUUAUUGAUGAACUUCAAAUUGGAUACAGAAACAGAUUUGGCGGGAAAAGGAAGAAGGGGAAAAAGAAUGCAGGAAACUUGAGGGAAAAGACAGAGGGAAUAUUUCCUCUCUGAUUGUAGAACAAAUCUAGACAAAAAGCUCCCUAUCUAUUACACGAUCAAUUCAUUUAUAGGAAAUUAUCCUAACUAACUUAUUUCCGUAGCUAAUAAACAAAUGACACGUGUGGUAGGAAUCUCAGGUUGUUUGGAUUCCAGUUCUCGUACAGAAAGCAUGAACCCAGAAUGGGCGUGCUUCCUUGGUCGCGCCUUUGUUGCUUCUCCCGCACCUUCCCCUUUGCUGACUUCGCGCCUUCACUCUUUUGCUCCCAUCCACUUGUCGUUAUUUGUUGGUUCGCGCCUUUCCUUGCCUGUCCUUGCUAUCCCCACGCCUUUCCCUUUGUACUCCCCACGCCUUCUUACCUCCAGCUACCUACUUCAUUACAAAAACGCAUUUUCAGUUUGCGUAUUGGGGUAUUUUGUGUGCAUGGGAUGUGUGGGCUGGGGAAGCGUAGAACAAGAAGAGUUUGAUAUGUUGACAAAGGAAACGAUUGAAAACUCGAGUUUUGUUUCUUAUUUAUGAUUUGAGGUCAUGAUGCAAUAGGUCUAGGCAUUUGAGUGGAAUUUACUUUGAAAUUUCAUUUGGAUGACACUAUAUAUUCAUUUCUUGGUUCAUUUGUGACAAAAAAAAACUCGUACCAUUUGAUAAGUAUACUAGUUUUGGGCAUAAGCUUAAAUUAGUUAUUUGUUUCAUUUGAAGAACCACAUAAUUCUGCUUUCUAGAGCUGAUUGGACAAAAAUUUUACCAUACAACUCCAUAAAUUUUCCACAAAAAAAAAGUCAUCUUCACAUAAUGAAAAUGAAGAUAGGUACAUUUGUCAACUCAAUUGCCAGUGAAGUAUUUAUAAAGGAAAUUUUAAUCUACUUUUUCAUUUCUUUUGCCUUGAUUCUUUUUUGUUUCAAACUUUACAUGUAUGUGUGCAAUAGUCCCCACCGCAGUUUCCUCCUUCCUCUACUCUUCUCCUCUUCUUUAGUCGCAAUAGCAAGCUUCCUCUGUUUUUUGAGCUCCAUAAUCUUCCGAAGAGGAUAGGAUUAAAUUUUUGUCUGAACCUCAUAUUGUAACCAAUUCCAACUAUCAACAGGAAAGAAACAGUAAAUAUUUACUAUUAUCCAAACAUUAAAUGAAGGCAGAACUAACAAGAAAGCACAAAGGAGAUUUUAAGCAUAAAGUGUGUGUGAUUACCAAAUUCCCAAUUCCCAUGAUACUCACCUGCAUAUGCACAAAAUGUUCAAAUGCAGUUUGAAAUUCCCAGUUCCCGUGAGAAAUGGUUGAUACAUGUCUGUAUAUGCACAAAAAGGUUCAAACGCAGUUCAAACGCAGCAAGAUAAAGGAUCAUUCUCCUUGUCUACAAGUAUGAUCUUUUCUCUGCAAUGUGAGUAGGGAAGGCCUGCAACGUGCUUAGUCCCUUCAAUAUAUCAUAUUUGCAAUAGCUGCACAAAGUCAAUCAAGAGCUUGAAUCUCACACUGCAAAUCCCAUCACUAAAUUUUUUCUUUUGACUAGGAAAUUACAUUUGAAAGUUUCUUAUCCUCUAAUCAUGACUAUAUUAAAUUCCAAUUCAACACAUCAUCUUUUAGCUACUAAUUAGAAUCCACCACAGAAAAAGAGGAAGUAACAAAACUUCCAACAAAUUAAUGUAAAAUUCCUCUAUUUCAUUAACAUUCUUUUCCAAAUUUCCCAAAAAAAAUUUGAGAAAAAACCAUAGAAAAUCUCUCCAUACAACCUGGAUAAGCAAGUAAGAGGAAACCUGCUGUGCAGUUAUAAAAAAUUCUCAAAAAAGGCCCAGUUUGUAUUUGAAACAGUGGUUGUAGAGCAUUGAAUCAUCUCUAAUGUCCUAAAUGACUUCUUUCUGAAAUCCAAACAAUAUCAAAAGUUCAUCACCUUUUCUCUUCUAAGCUGACUACUGAGCCAAAAGCUAAAAAUAAUAUGCAAACCUAGUUGGUUCAAUGAUUUUUUUUUUCCAAAUUUGCAAUAACUUGAACUGAAUAUAUCAUAUUUCUUCAACAAUAUAGAGGGUAUAUCAUUAUAAAGCUGGGCAGUCAUAAAAUAUACAAUAGCAGAUGGAUAUUGCUAUGUACUUUCCAAUCUUGCUAGCACAGAUGCUUUCCUCAAUGCAAAGGCCAUGUUUUUUCUACUUUUGUUUUUAUUCAGAUAUGAAAGCUCUCAACUUACACAAUGCCCAUGCUUUUUCAACUCUUAAUACCAUAAAAAACAGAAGAGGAAAAGAGAAUGCAGAGCUAUCCUAAGUGAUAACUUAAAAAACUCCAGCAACAUUAUAACAACAGAAAAGCCAAAAUGUGCCUAAAUAAAUCCGAAAUUGCUGUAAUUUAAAACAAUUAUAAAGCUGCGACUGAGCUCAUGUUGGUACUGAACUUGACUGGUAUAAGUUCACUUAAUUUUCAUCGAUGGGAAAUUGCAUGAGAAGUAUAGCAGUCGACUCUAAUGAAAUCAUAUGACCCUUUAACCAAUUGUUCUAUUCAUGCAUGAAUCUUGGAAGCACAGCUCUCACAAAAGCCGCAAUGAUGAACUGAUAGUCACCAAUAAUUUUGCAAUCCUAUUAUUUAUAUUAAAAAACAGAGUGAAUUUAAUAAUGGAAAAAUCCUACAAUUAAACCACACCUUCCCUAAAAAUCACGAAUACUGAUUUCUAGUUGCUGGACAAAAACCAAUAACAGCAUCCAUUACAACCAACCCAAAGAAAGAAGUUGAUCAUAGCUAAACUUCCGGUAAAUAGCAUUUUUGUGGAUAUAUAACCCCAAGCGCAUCAUUGGGAAGGGCUAUCCGAAAUAAUCUAAUGUAGAAAAUUGCAAGAAAAAGCAAUACCUAUUAUGUGAUGUCAAGGCCCAACAUUGAAUAUCACCACAGUAUUAGAUUUAGAAAUUAAUUUUGAUGCCCAGUAUCCUAUACCGCCUUUGAUUUUUAAACUUUAUCAAAAUACCAAAGUAAAGUUGGGAACUUAGCAAAAUCAUGCGUGAAAAGGCUCAGUAUUCAAUGCCAAGAGGGAGGAAUAGUGCCAUGGCUGCAACCCAGUUGCGUGCAAGCGAGGGGAACUAUUAAAUUUGUUCCCAUCUCAGAUCUGCCAUUCGAGUUGCCCUGCCAUGGAAUGGGUCCAUAACCUCCAUGCCGAAUUCAUAAACCACUACAAAAAUAACAUCAUAGCCGGCAUUAUGAAUUUUGCUAUAACAGAUUCCAUUGGAGGCAGUUUGGAUAUAGAAUUUAGGUUGGAUUAGGAGGGUGAAAGGGAAGAAGGAAAUUUCUCAAAGGGAUAAGCUCAUUAAGAGGAUAGAAGGACAGAGUACAGGAGAUGGUGAAAGCAAGGGGUGGGCGCUCGACGGGGCGAAUUACUCAGAUUAUAGCCGAACAAAAAAAAAAUCGCACAUGUACCGAUUUGACAAUGUUAUUGUACAAAUUUAUGGGUACCGGGCUGACACGGCCCGGCACCCAAGUUUCAUCAAAAUUUUUUCUUUUAUAUCUGGCACCGCCCGGCAGCGGGAAAAUUUUUUUUAAAAGAAAAAACUGUCUACUACCGGGCUGACAAUGCCCAGUAACCAACCAAGGCUGAAAAAGAAAGCUGGCUGCCGGGCUCUCUCUGCCCGGCAGCCAGUCAAAUUGAAAAAAAAAAUUGCAAAGCGCCUGACUUGCAAGAGAACCGUUUGAAACCAAGGGCUUUGCAAACAUGCAAUCUUCCUAUUUGGGCUUUGCAAGGGCUUUCCAAUUGCUAAAUUGGAAAGAGUGAGCAACAUUCGUUGGGAAUCUAAGAGCUGGGAAUGUGCGAAAAAAAAAUUCUAGGUUAUUCCCAACCUUUUUUUUUAACUAACUUAGAUUCCCAAAUAAAUUAACAAAUUCUAUUUUUCUUGUCAUGUCAUGCAAGAGUUUAAACUUAUUGUUUGAAUAUUUCAAAUUUUACAUGAAACGUUAUCAAUACUUAUUCCUUUCUUAUUUUUCAAAAAUAGUUUGAUUGUGAUAUCACUCCAGAUACUCAUUGGAAAAAGGCCAACUCUACUAUGUGGAGACGGACGAAGAAGUAUAUUCGGGCACCGGAGAAAGUGAAUUAUGCAUGCAUCAAAAAUAUUAUAUAUUUUAAAAUCACAAUAAAAGUUCUCUUAAAAAUUUAUUCAUCAUCUAAUGUCCAAUACUUAUAUUCGAUAAAUUAAAAUAGUUAAUUAAAUAUUCUAUUAUAAUAUAAGUAACUAUAUAUUAUUGAGUCGAAUGAAUAAUAUUUGCUUUUUUCUUUUUGUGGUAUUUCAACUAGUUGUCUAUUAAGUUUCAAUUGGAAUAAGGAUUUUAUAAUUAUUUAAAUUAUUCAAUAAAAUUAUCAAUUUAAGAUGAACAUAAAUAUAAAUACAUUAAAUUGUAUUACUGAAAUAUUUAAUUUAAUAUGAAGGAAAGACAAGAUGAAAUAGCAAGAAAUUUUUUAAAAAUUCAUAUAAGUACUUUAUAUUAGUAAUCACAUUUAUUUGUUAUUAUAAUUAUAACACCUGAUCAUAAUUGAUUGAAACUCAUAUCCUAAUAUUAUUUACAACUAAAGUUACUAUAUACUGAAAUUAAAAUUUUCUUUUUUGCACUAAAUUUUCUUUUAUAUUUACGCCUCAAUUAUUUAAAAUAUGAAAUUCAAUUAAAAAAUAAAAUGUACCACAAUAUUUGUUUUGACAUAUACAAAAUUCACUAAAUAAUGUUAAAAAUUUCAAAUAUGAUCCAAUACAACAAUUUCGCCCUUAUUUUUUUUGUCCACUUAUCUGCUACGUACUAACUUUCUUUUUUCGUUCAGCUUUUUUGCUUCACGGGAGCUGCCAGCCUUCUUCCUUUUUUGUCCACAACCAUGCUUUGCAAUUUUGGUUCACUAACUUCCCUUUUUUGGUUCAGCUUUUUCUUUCUUUCCGCUUUGCAAUUUUUUUUUUAAAUAACUUGACUGGCUGCCGGGCAGAGAGAGCCCGGCAGCCAAUAGCUUUUAAAAAAAAAAAAAAAUUCCCGCUACCGGGCUGUGUCGGCAUAGAAGUAAAAAAAAAAAAAAAUUUUAUUCAAGCUUGGGUACCGGGCCGUGUCAGCCCGGUACCCAUAAAUCUGUCCCAAACCAUUGUCAGAUUGGUAUAUGUGCGAAUUUUUUUUGUUCGGCCAUAAUCUGAGUAAUUGGCCGCUUGACGGAGAAUGCAAAGAAUAUAGGGUCUGUUUGGUUGGAAGUAAAAUGUUUUCCUUGGAAAAAUAUUUUCCGUGGAAGUAAUUUUUCAUGAAAAUCAUUUCCCUCUCAUCAUUUUCAGGUGUUUGAUUAGUUUAUUGAAAAUAUUUUCUUACUUCAUUUUUCUGGUGUUUGUUUAACUUUUAAAAUAUUUUUACUUUUAUCUCUAUCUUUACUUUCUACACAUUAUAACUACAUACUUCUUCCCAUGCAAAAUAAGAAAAUUUAUCUCAUUGUUUAACUUUUAAAAAUCUUGGAGAAAUGUAUAUAUGAAUAAAAAAUAUCUCCUUAAGCAAUAAACAAAUUGCUGGCCAUUUAGUGUCAAAUAUCAAUCAUAUGCAAUGCUUAUUGUGACAUAUAUCUUGCACUGUCACCGCUAAAAGUUCUCUAGACAAGAAUGUCCCUAUUAUACAUAAUUAAUUACUAGCAUAGGAUGAGCAGGAUGAAAUUUUUUUUUAUUUUGAAUAUACUAGGGGGAGGGUUGGGUGGUAUGGGAAAGGGAGUGUAAGGAAGAGGUCUUGGGUUCGAAUCCUCCUGUUUACACUAAAAAAAAAAAGAACAUACAACAAGAUGUUUUCAGUAAGUUUGGAACAUAUUACAGGCGGGAUGCAUGCAUUUCGAAAAACAACUUCAAUAAGUUUGGAAGGGAAGUUGUUUUCCAUAAGAUGAGUGAAAAUAUUUUACAUAGGAAAAUAUUUUCAGUAACUUUUGUGCAACCAAACACGGGAAAUUAGGAAAAUAUUUUCCUGGAAAACAUUUUCACUCAAAACAAACGGACCCAUAAUCGCUGCCAUCAGGUACUGUAUCUGAAAAGCGCGAAAAAACACGUGGCAUCUCAGCCCAUGACAGCAAGAAUGAAAUGGCAAUAUCAAAGCAAAUUUCUUUCCCGUGAUCGUGAGGCAUUAGUUUCUGGGUUUAAGGUCCAUGAGUGGCCGGUUCUAUUACCAAUUGGCUGAACGUGGUUGCUUUGUGGGUCCCAUCUUAGAUUGCUCGUUUGGGCUAUUCUUUGAUGUUCUCCGAGUAUUUAAUCUAAUUGUGUACGUGGAUUCUUGAUCAUUUGUGAGAAAAAAACCACUUGUGUGGCGAGGUUGUGCUCGGGGGGAUAGGGGCAUCCCGUCCCACAUCGAAAGAUCGUGGGGCAUUAGUCUCUGGGUUCAAGAUCCAUGAGUGGCCGGUUCUGUCACCAAUUGGCUGAACCAGGUUGUUUUGUGGAUCCCAUCUUAAAUUGCUCGUUUGGCCCGUUCUGCGUGGAUUCUUGAUCAUUUGUGAGAAAAAAAAAAGGCAAAUUUCUUUCUGUUGACCAAAAGACGCUCAAUUAAUGGAGCAGAAAAUCGAGAACGCCCUUUAAAGACCACGGAAUCACGUUGAAACCAGACGAAAUUAUUGCCCCUCAUAAAGUCAAUAUUUACGUUGAAAUCGGACGAAAGUCACUUUUCAAAAGAAGCAUUGACGCUUUAUUUGUAUGUUAUGAUUUAAGGAAUAUGCGAAAGCGCCCCAAGCCAGUGGCCAUUUGGUCCACUAGUCAUCACCAUCUUUGGUGAUGCUGGAGAUCAAGGUUCAACCCCUACCUCCCACAAAAAAACUUGUCACUUUGGGUCUGUUUGGUUGGAAGUAAAAUAUUUUCCUUCGAAGUAAUUUUCAUGAAAAAUUACUUCCCUUUCAUGAAAAUUUUCCGUUGAAGUAAUUUUCCAUGAAAAUCAUUUCCCUUUCAUCAUUUUCAGGUGUUUGAUUAGCUUAUUGAAAAUAUUUUCUUACUUCAUUUUUCUGGUGUUUGUUUAACUUUUGAAAUAUUUUCACUUUUAUCUCUAUCUUUACUUUCUACAUAUUAUAACUCAUACUUCUUCCCAUGCAAAAUAAGAAAAUUUAUCUCAUUGUUUAACUUUAAAAAAUCUUGGAGAAAUGUAUAUAUGAAUAAAAAAUAUCUCCUUAAGCAAUAAACAAAUUGCUGGCCAUUUAGUGUCAAAUAUCAAUCACAUGCAAUGCUUAUUGUGACAUAUAUCUUGCACUCUCACUGCUGAAAGUUUCUCUAGAAAAGAAUGUCCCUAUUAUACAUAAUUAAUUACUAGCAUAGGAUUAGCAGGAUGAGAUUUUUUUUUAUUUUGAAUAUACUAGGGGGAGGGUUGGGUUGGGUUGGGUGGUACGGGGAAGGGAGUGUAAGGAAGAGGUCUUGGGUUCAAAUCUUCCUGUUUACACUAAAAAAGAAAAAAAAAAGAACAUACUACAAGAUGUUUUCAGUAAGUUUGGAACAUACUACAGGCGGGAUGCAUGCAUUUCGGAAAACAAUUUCAGUAAGUUUGGAAGGGAAGUUGUUUUCCAUAAGUUGAGUGAAAAUAUUUUACAUAGGAAAAUGUUUUCAGUAACUUUUGUGCAACCAAACACGGAAAAUUAAGAAAAUAUUUUCCUGGAAAAUAUUUUCACCCAAAACAAACGGACCCUUUAUGUGGCUGGUCUUCUGCCCCCACGGGAUAGCUCGAACGGUCCGCUCCCCCUCCUUAGGGUAUGGCGACCUUCCUGACUUGUCCAGGGUUCGAAUCCCGUUGUUAACGUGCUCGGAGUGGAGUGGGGCCUCCUCUCCCGGGUCGCAGGGGAUUAGUCGGACCCCGUAAGGAUUGACCCGGACACCCUUGUGUUGACAAAAAAAAAAAAAAGGGAAAGCGCCCCAAAAAAAAAAAAAUCUUGUUCUCUUACACUUUUUCAAGUUCAUAUUUUUAGGUAGUAUCCCACUGAGAAAACUAAAUUUUCAUCAUUCAAAAGUCAGAUUUUCUCCCAUAACUAUUGACAAUUUUUAAUUUGUUUCAGCCCGGGGACUGAUUUCAGACAAUUUAGGAAUAAAAGUACAUAAGCAUGAAUUUCACAAAUUAAACUGAGUAUUGGGAUUGAGGGAGAGGCAAGUUCUUUUGUGUCCUUUUUUUUGUGUAUAUUAUGUUGUUUAGUUUAGUGCCAAAUAUUGGUCCAAGAUGUUAAAGCCACUCUUUCUAAGCAAAGAUGCUAGGAUUUAACUUUUAUGUUGUCUUUGAAGCACUCAUGUAGUAAGAUUUUGUAGUAACAUUGUACUAAAAUUAGUAAAGCCAGAAAAUAAGAAGGAAACAUAAGAGUUGUUUUAUUUAUUCUGUUUUCAUAAAUAUAAAUAAUAGCACUAAAAUAGUUUAAGAGAAAUUGAUUUUUUAGAGUUUGAACGUCUUGCCUUAAAACCACCCAUUGAGAAAUUAGUCACAUAUAUGCACACCUUUGUUUCCUCAAAAUAAUCUUUUGUUUCUUCAUUGCAAGUGUGGCAGUCCUGUUUGGAUUGCUAUUUUUAUGAUUUUUAUAUAAAAAAAUAUAUUAUAGUAACUUGAUAUAUGUGAGGCAAAAAUGUGGUUGAAAAAUGUGUUUAAAAAAUUUUUUUGAUAGAAAACCAUAAUCUAAGCACUUUUACAAAACAAUUACAAAUUUGAUACCAAUGUAUGUUGGAGGGGUGGGCAAAAUGGUCCCUUUUAGUGUGUAUUUUAUGCAAAAAAAAAAAAUGUAGUUCCAAAGUUUGAAAGAUGAACCAAUCUGGACCCUUAUAUUUGGACACAAUUAAUCUAGUUCCUGAUUUUCCCCAAAUUUAAUCAUGGGUAGAUUUCUAUAUGCUCCCAUUGUGGUUUCACAUUAUACCACUUAUUCCCUUUUGUUCAAUAGUAUUAUUCAAUUUCUCUAUAUUUUAUAAAAAGUGAACAAAAAAAGACGUAAAAGCAAUUCCAAUUAUAUUAAGGGAUAAUUUUAGAAACAUUCCCUGAGGUUUCUAACGAUUUCACUGGUCUCUCAUGAGAUUUGUAAAAUUACACUUAUCUCCCUUAGUAGAAUGGUGGGCCCAAUUAUAUCACAUGGGAAAAAUUACUCAUAUACCCUAAGACAUUAUGUCUUAUAGAAACUAAUAUCUAAUGAUUGAGUAAUUAGAUCACUAAUUAACUAUAAGUAACUAAUUAAUGAAAAUAAUUGUUGAAAUUUUCUUUAAUGAUGAAUAGUGACUUGCAAUUGUAAGAUAAGGCCAAUUGAUAUACCAGAUGGUGCUAUUUUGUGAUUGAUAGAACUUGACAAUAAUUAAAAUCUAGUUAUACACAAUGUGAGAAGAAGAGCUUUGGUAAAAGGAAAAACAUAUGGCAAAAGAAGAUUGUUCAUGGAAAUUUUUUUUUUUAACUCUUAAAACUAUAAUAGUUAUAAAGUAAUUUCAUGGAAAUAAAGAAGAAAUAAGGGAAAAGAAAGGCGAAAUUUAAAAUUUUUUUCUGUUCAUAAUCACAAGAAUUAUAGUAAAACCUAAUGUUAAGAGUGAUGACCGGUCUAUUAUACUAAAUCUUAUGAUCAUUAGUAUAGUUUUAUUGUUUAUUUGUGUUGUCUAAUGUGUUGAAUGUGAACUUUUUGAAUAGUGAAAUGUAUGUAUUAAUUAUUUCUAACUUUUAAUUUUUUUAUGCUUUUACUAAUACAACUUAUAUACAUGUAUAAGGGGUAUUUAUGGGAUAAAAGUUUCAUUUUUCUCCUUAAAGUAUUUUUAAAUGUUACUUUUUGUGAUUUGGAUUAAUUUGUUACUAAAACAUUAAUCUCAAGGGAGGUUUGUGCAAUUUUACAAACCUCAAGGGAAGUAGUGAUAUUGUCAGAAACCUUAGGGGAGGUAGGGGAGGUUUCUGAAUUUAUCCCUCAUAUUAAUUGAUGCAAACAUGUUUCAAAAACGCGUGUGAGGCAUGAAAUAUAGAAUAUCCACCCAACCCCACAGUGAUUUCACAUUCGACCACAUGAUCUUCCUAUGAUUUUAGGUAAAGUGGUUAGGAUCUUGUUAUAUUUCAUAUUUAAAUAAGAACUUAAUUGAAAUUUUAACGAAUGCCGUUACUAGAUGUGCUUUUUUUUUGUUAUAUUACUAGAUGUGCUUCGAAUCAAUUUUACAUCUAAAACUACAGGGGAUAAGUAUAUGUUAAAACAUAACUAGUGGACUGAUUAUGUGGUCGAAGGCGAAACAAAUGGGGGGUAAAUAAUAAUUUACAAUUCAAUUAAUGUAACACAAACCAACCCAACAUGGUUGUAACUAGUGUUUAGCUAACUUGAUAACUAGCUCUCGAAUGGCACUUGUGAAUUCUUGAAAAGUUGCUUACACCAAGGCUAUUGAUUGAAUUAGGGACUAGAUCCCUCUUUAUUGUGUUGGAGAGAACUUCUCUAUUACACUAAUAAAAUUAAUUUAGAACUUUUAUUUUUUAAAGUUAGCACCAUUUAUAAUGUACUUCAUCACUAGUAGUUAUAUACAAAAAUUGGUUUGAACAACAAAGAAUAGGUCAAAAUCCUAACAAAAUUUGUAAUGAUGAAUAAUAAGAGACUUAAUAUUUGAAACAAAAGUGAGAUUUUAGUCAAUUCUCCAAAGAUUAGGGACCAAACUCGCAAUUCUCCCUUGCUUUUAUAGUACUACAACUCCACAAGGGUUAGUGUUAAGCGAAGAGAAAUUGUACGCAAAUAAAAAGAUUGAUAAACGUCACAAUCUUAUCUGCACAAGGCAAAGCAAAGGUAAUAUUCAUCCACAAUUCAAUAAAAGAAACUCGAUAUUUAUAGUUUCAUAUGUAUUUUAAAUUUUUCCUGUCACUGUAAACUGCGUUUGUCCUUGACGGGUCACCAUUUUAUUCCACGUCAACAUGUCAUGGUUAAAAUCUGGAAACCUUCUAUAGCCUUUAUCCAUUAUCCAAAAAAAUAUAUAUAAUUAGUAAAAAACAAAAAAGUUUACAUUAACUAAAAUUUCCUUUAGUGAUUAACAAGAUAGAGAGUGAUUAAAAAAAAUGAAAAAGAUAGAGAGUGAUUAAAACUCUCACAAAGUUUUACAUAAAUUGAUCUCUCAUAAACAUCAAGGUCGAUUCUUAAAUCACUGAAAGGAUUCAACUCUCACAAAUUUUUAAUAUCACCCAAAUUGCUGAAAUUUCAACAACUGCUUGAAUCACAAUACAGACAUGCAUAAAAGCCUUCUAUUUGUUUCAUAGCAUGUGAUUGGGUAAUAGCAACAAAGUUAUUCCUCAAACACUUCCUGGGGCACUGCUUUAUUUUUCUUCAAGUUUUUCGAUAUUUAUUUCUUUUUAAAGGCAUUCUCCCAUGAUUUAGAGUCGAUCGGAUUUUAGAAUUUCUAAUAAGAAGAGAUUCAAAGGGAGUUGAAAGUUACGCUCACUAGACAAUUAGAUUGAAGGGGGUAAUAAAAAAAUUUUUAUCGUUGAAAGUGAUUAAUUGUUAUAAUGUUCAUGUAUGUAAAUAAUUUUAUCUCAAAAUCUAAAUAAUUUUAUAUAAUAUAUAUUUCAUUUCGAACUGGAUUGAUAAUCUGUUGAAAUGUACAAAGAAAAAAAAGAAAGAAAAUAUAUGUUAGCUUGUCAAUCUAAUUUACAUCUAAUAUAAUUGAGUGUUUAACAAUUAAUAUAUGUGAAAGAAAAGGAGAGAACUCAUGAUCAAAGAAACUAGUGGCAUUAUAAAACAAAGAAAAUAAAAAAAAGAAGUAAAAGAAAUUUAAACAGUAUUUGUAAUACACGUCUAAAAACAAUUUUGAUCUAAUUUAUUUAUCUUUUUAUUUAAAACUCUUAAUAAUAUUACUUAAAACUUAAGAAACUAUAACAAUUCAAACUCUAAAUAAAUGCAAAGUAAAACUGUUGGCUAAAGGUAAACUGAUUUUGACCAUGAGAAUUAUUGAAUUAUUGUCUAGUCAUAAAUUUGAUAAAAAAAAAGGAUAAAUUUUGGAGACCAAAUUUAUUUUGAUCAAAACAGUUGGGCCUAAUACUGGAUCAGAAAACUGAACUUCUCCAAGUAAAGAUGUUCAUUUCAAGUUUACAGUUUGAUAUGCAUUUUAGGUAAUAUUGACUUUUUCUUUGGUUCAUUUCAAGAGGACGGGGUGCAAAUGUCAUUUCCUAUUGUCGUCAAAUGUAUAAUAGAAACCAUUACGUGGAAUCUGACAAUCAUAGCUUCAAAACACUGGUGAAUCCAUUAACGACUGUUAAAAAUUACAACAUUUUCUAUAUAUGAAAGAUUUGGGAUUGCAGCUUGACCUGCAAUUACAUCACCACAACUCUGCCGGAGGGUUCCGAAUUCCAAACUUAUUUAUUCAAAGUCAAAGGUUAUCGGACCAGUGAGGCUGUUAUUACCCAAGUCUAAAUAGUCCAGACCUUCCAAAUGAUACAAUGACCUUGGAAUGCUUCCAGUGAAGUUAUUGCUGUUGAGGUUGAUGUGAUACAAGACUAGGUAAUUCAUCCAACAGUCAGGAAUUUCUCCUGAUAGAGAAUUCUCCCGAAGAUCCAGAUAUUGAAGAACUUGAUUUUCAUUCUUCACUUCACACAAAAUGUGAGAGAUGCCUCCUGAAAAUAAAUAGUUGGAAAUUAAGUUCUAAAUAUGUCAAUCAAUGAUAAAUUAAU
rnacentral:lncRNA from 1 species